rnacentral:lncRNA from 1 species
CUGCCCAUGCCUUUUCUUUCGCUUUCCGGUUUGUGAUUGAAGAAGAGCCGUUGGAUUGAUCUUGGAAUAAAUCACGCAGCUGGAAAUGGGUCCCAACUCACGUGAGAGUGCUGUGUGGGGCCUGUGAAUGUCAAACAUCAACUUGGGAAAGAAGCCAAAAUUGAGUUUUUAAGAACGUGUUUGGCUUCCUUGAAAAACAAUUUUUAUUUAAAAAUUUAUAUUAGACGUGCAAUUAUUUAAGUCACGAUAAAUAAUGAUUUCGAAUCUUAUGUGUGUGCGUAUUUAGUAUUUUUUAUGUAUUUAUAGACAGAAUAUGAAUUCAAAUUUAUAAUUUGCAGUAUACAUGUUUCGUCCAAUUACUACUUAUUAUAUUUGUACUUAAAAUUAAUAUAAUAUUAUGUAAUGUAACAUAAUUAAAAUAAUUAUUGCAGUCAAUCAGUUAAAAUUAAAUUUUAAUAAUUUCAAAAUAGAGCCUAGGAAGGGCGCGCCAAACACCCCAUUGAACGAUCCAAGGUGAAGAAAUCUUUCUCCCUGUCCAUCCAACGGUUCAGAUCCGACCCGGACGAUUCAUUCCCUCUCUCACCUUUAACCAAUACCCUCCAUUCUCCAUUAUACACAACCCACGCCUCAGAUCCACCCUCUGUAAACAAUUUUGGAUCAGCAAAUGCUUCUGAGAAGUGCGUCAACGCCGAUACUCAACUCAUGGCUCCCUCACUCUACCUCCAAGGAACCUUCUCCUGAACCAGAAACGGUGCACCAAGUCCCCAGAACCCGCCCCAUCACCCUCUCGGCUUCUUAUUCGAGCCCGUUUCACUUGUCCUCGACCGAUGAUUCCAUGAACAAGAUGACCAGGGCGCUCUCCGACACUGAUAUUCCUGCCCUCUCGAUAACGAGGAAGAAACCCACUAACAGAAUCCUCGGCGGGGUUUCAGUACAGGAGAAAGAUGAGGAAAAAGAGUGUGGAUCUGAGUUGCCAGAAACAGCGUCAUUGAGUUGUGGCUUGCCCCUGGGUGUUUCGUUCGAGAAAAGUCGUGAGGUUUUGGCUGGGUGUGGGAUCGGUGGAUGCGGGGGAGGAUCUUACGGUGGAGAUGACGAUGGGAACUGGGGGUGCUGGGAUUCAAAUAAUGAGAAUGAUAGUAUGGAUGCGUACUAUCGGAAGAUGAUCGAGGCUAAUCCAGGGGACGCGCUUGUUCUUAGCAAUUAUGCCAGAUUCUUGAAAGAGGUUUGUGCUCAAUUCAGCUUCGUAUUCGUUAAUUGAUUAAUUUAUUUACUGUGCCCUUAAUAAACAUUUUUAUUACUUUUGUUUUAUUAAUUUGGAAGAAAUAGUACUUGAAUUUCAACUGUUAAAAGCGACUGUUAGGUGAUCUGAGUACGUUGGUAAUCAUAAUCUUUUGAAAAAAAAAUAAAUUGAAAUUGAAAUUUAUUAUUUUUAGCCAACUAUCGUUACUCAUAUUUCCUUUUGUUUAAUUAAAGCAUUUUAUCCCCACAAACAUAAGCACGUAAAUGAAUAUAGGGAAUCUUUAUCUUCUCUUUUUUCUGAAACAGGUCCAGGAGGACUUUACGAAGGCUGAGGAAUAUUAUGGGCGUGCGAUUUUGGCUAAUCCGGAGGAUGCAAAUGCUCUAUCAAUGUAUGCAGAAUUAAUAUGGCAGAUUCACAAAGAUGCUCCUCGUGCUGAGACUUAUUUUGAUCAAGCUGUAAAAGCAGCCCCUGCCGACAGGUAAUGACUGCCCGAUGUUGCAUACUUAUUGUUUCGUCAGAGCUGAGAAACAAAGUUGGAAUGAAUUCUAAAAGUUUUUUAGACAAAUUAUUUUGGUAGGUGUUUUAGAGAAAAUAAUCAUUCAGAAAUUGAUGAUCAUAUGUAUGUCAAAAGUAGAGAUGAAUAUAGAAAGGGAAGGACGUACUUUAAUCUUGAGGCCAAGAGAAAUAAAGAGAAAUAAUAGCUUGCUCACAAAUGAGCCAGAUAUUCAAGUUUUGGUAAAAGUCAUGAAGAUCAAGUAGUAAAACAUCUCUUGUUAUCGAAAAACCCCUGUUUUUGUGAUCAUAAUAUAUAACUGCCUUCUUUUUAUUAGCGGGUAGACUCAGUUUUGCUUUUAUAAUUGACCCUAUGAAGUAGAAUUAGGGGAUUCACCAAUAAGUAUUUGCAGCCACAUCUCAGAAGAAAUGAACCUUAUAAGUAGGCAUCACCCUGGGGUCUUUAUUUUAUUGCUUUUCGGGCUUGAGUAAUAUAUUAUAUUAGGUUGACUUCCGUCAUGAAUUGAUCAACUAAAUUUUGUUUCAUUAUCAUGGUGUUGUAGUUAUGUACUAGCAUCUUAUGCUCGAUAUCUUUGGGAUGCUGAAGAAGAAGAUGAAGAUGGAGAAGGAAAAAAAGAAACAAAGCAGAUGAACCAACAUGGUCUUUUUCAUGGAGCUCUGCCUUUAGCCGCUUCUUGAGCUUUCAUUGGUUCUUUUUUCUUCUCUUGUAUCAUAUGGUUCAGGCUUAAUUUACUAGCUUUGUUUAUACUUCAAUUUAUUUUUGUUUAACCCUGUAUUUUUACCCUUUUGCUGCACUGAGAUGAGUUGUGUUUAACCUCUUGCUCUAUUUUUCAAUGGAUUGUUGGAGCUUUUUCCAUAUCAUGUAAUAGAGAAUAAGAUAUGGAAGGAAAUUCUCUCUCUCUCUCGCUAGCUCUCAUGAAUUGCUGCCUGUAAAUUAUCAUUUUCAUUAGUUUGAUUUAUGUGUUCUACAAUGGAACUCUCCUUCUUCUUCUUCUUCUUCUUCUUCAUCUUCAUCAUCAUCAAGAAGCUACGUGGAUUGAUUUAUUCUUUGUAGCUUAAAAGAUUUUACUCUGUGGGCCCUCGAAAGUUAAGCAUAAAUGUAUUCAAUAGUGUUAUAAAAAUGAUUACUUGGAUUUUGAUAAAAUGACUAAAAAGAAUGCAGGAAGAAUUUAUUCGUCUAUAGUAUUGAGUCUUUCAUUUAUGAUAAUAAGUUGAUUUGAAAAUAAAAAGUGGAUGCGCACUAGUAGUCUAGAGUUAAGUUUGGAAGUGGGUGACUAGAUAUUCACAUAUGGGAGAUUGUUUGCUCAAGAUGGUAUAAGUAGAGUUUAAUGAUUUGUUUACUUUUUUCAGUGUAAGCCAAGUUAUAUGAUUUCAUCAAGAUGACACAGUUGACUGCGGGGACAACGAAAUUUGCAUACGUUUUAGAGUUCGGAGGAUUGAAAUGGAGGUACCUGCUUGGUUGUUUUCUCAAUAAUUGCGAUAUCCAUCUUUUCUUCUAGCCAAUGGACAUAUGGACUUUCUGGAAAUUUUAUAACAUCAGUUUAGAACAUAAAAUGGGUCUUUUUUUUUCGUGAUAUUUAGAGCGAUAAAAGAGGUAGAAAGGCCACUUGGUGCUUCUUCAAUGUUUUCCCUCUUGUUAGAAGAAAAUAAGCUUCAAUAAGUGAGGUGUCCCCCUUUUUCUUCCAGCCAAGGUGUGUGAGCUAUCAAUGUCGUGCGAAAUUUGAAUGGUUGAGUUAUUAGCAAGAUAUUCUAGAGCUCCACAUAACUCUUGUCAUAUGGGAGAACAUUAGUUUGAGUUAAUGUAGACUUAUGUUGCCUCAAGAUAAUAGUCGAUUAUGAUAUUAGUGACUUUUUGGCGUGAUGUUUAUAAUGAUCAGAAGGCACGAGAUAUUUUCUUAAUAUUCUUCUAACAUUUUCUCCCUCAAUAGAAGCAAAUAAACUUCAACAAGUAAAAUAUUUUUUUUUCUUUUUUAUCAAAGAGGUAUGAAUUUUAAUAUUUUGAAAAAUUUAAAUAAUAGAGAGUUUUAUGAAUAUGUCAAACUUCGUUAGUACUUUUCUAACUUUGAUGUUUAAUUUAGUAGACUUGACAAACUCAUUAGUAACUUAGAUGUUAGUAGUUUUUUUUUUUUUUUUAAAAAAGAAAUCUUUUUAUAUGCAUUUUGAUUAUUAUAUUUCAUUUUGUAGUGAAUUUAUUUAAAAAAUUUGAAAGUUUAAUGCAUCCCAUGAUUUUGCUUAGGAGGUAGUGGAAGAGGGAAUUCUCUGUUAAGAAGACCUUAUCCCAUCAGCAAGCCAAAGAUGACAAGUAAGCAAACUCGUCCAGGUCAUACAAAUGUCCCAGUCAGCAUGCCAACUCAGUCAUCAGCUCACGAUAAACCACGCGUGUUCGACAACUGGCUCACAAUCGUCCCUUCCUGCAUAACAUUGAUCUUCUUCCUUUAUUCUCUGCAUUUUUCGUUGUGAUCCUCUGUAAUUUAUUUCUCUUUGUUUUCUUAUGGCGUGCUUUCUUCUUUUUCGUCUUCUAUUGGUGAGCCACCAUGCUCUAUAAAUUGCGUAUCUCUCUCAAUGUUUCAUCAAUGAAAUAUUAAUUGUCCAGCUCUUUCCUCAUCAAAAAAUCACGUCUCAUUUUUUAACUUGGUAUCAGAGCCAGUGCAAUGGCAGGAGAAAACAACAACUCCUCACCUUAAACCCACCACCUCAAAGAACUCAGACCCUACUUGGCAACACAAUGAACUCGAUUUGCACACUGAAACUUAACCAUGAAAGUUUCCUUCUCUGGAAAAACAUGGUCAUUCCGAUUAUCAGAGGAAAUAAGCUGGAAGGCUAUACCACCGGAGCCAAAGCCAGUCCACCUGAAUAUACAGAGAGAAUCGUUGAAGGAAGCAACGAAGUGGAAACCACUGUGAACCCAGAAUUCGAAGAUUGGUUCGCACAUGAUCAAAUGCUGCUAGGAUGGCUCUACAACUCAAUUGAAAUGAGCGUAGCUUCCGAAUUAAUGGGACACUCAAUAUCAAAACUCCUUUAGGAUGCCAUCGGAGACCUAUUCGCAGUUAAAGCAAGGGCGAACAUAAUCUAUUACAAGCGAGAGUUUGUCAAAAUACAAAAGGGAAGCUUGAAAAUGGAAGAAUACUCCAAAACUAUCAAAAGAGUUGCUGAUAAUCAUGCAUUAACAGGUCAUCCUGUAACACUAGAAGACUUGGUUUCUCAAAUCCUCGCAGGCUUAUACUCCCUUGAAUACAACCUACUGGUAUGUCAAAUUACCGAGAAAGAAAGCAUAAGUUGGGUGGAACUCCAAUCACGACUACUGAACUAUGAAAUGCGACUGGUACAACUCAACACCACUAUGGCGAAUCUUAUUCUCGGAUGACCCUCAGCGAAUUUCUCCAAUAUCAGGAGCAACAUGAACUAUUAAAAUCCUCAUUUUCAUACAACAAACAAAGGAGGCGAAUGGAACAACAAUCUAAACAGGGGUGGCCACUACAACACCAAAAGAGGAGAGGAAGAAGCAGUGGUAGCACCAGACUAAUCUGUUAGGUGUGCGGCAAAAUCGGGUACACUGCUGCUCACUGAUACUAUCAAUAUGACAACAACUACAUGGGUGCUAUUCUAAAAAGCUCAGCAAAGUUCGGCCUUUUCACUCUCCACCGAAAGCAACCUUGAAGACCCAGUUUGGUAUACCGAUAAUGGCAUAAAUAACCAUGUCACAAGUGACCCCAACAUUCUACAAUCAAAGCAAGUGUUUGCAGGAAAUGAAAGUCUGAUGAUUGGAAACAGUGAGAAAUUGCAUAUCAAACAUAUUAGUAAGGCAAACAUCUAUACACCCAGUAGCCAAAAACUAACACUACAUAAAGUGUUGCAUGUGCCUAAAAUUAAAAGGAAUCUACUGAGUAUUUCUCAACUAAAUCUUUAAAUAAUGUUGAAGUAACCUUUAACUCUUCUCAUUGUUUUGUGAAGGACACAGCCACCGGGAAUGUGCUGUUGCUGGGGAAGCUUGGAGAUGGCAUGUUCUGCUUGGGUUCCUCGAAACCAUUGGUCCUUCCUCAUCCUCGCUGUCAAGCCUGAUCACCAGCAAGAAUACCCAAGACAGUAGUCGAACCCCUGAAUCAAAACUGCAAGCUUGACAUAAGAGACUUGGACACCCAUAAUAAAAAACACUAUCUGUUAGUUUGAAAUCAUGUAAUGAACCUUUUAAAGUCAAUGAAGAACUCUUUUGUGAUGCAUGUCAACUGGGCAAAUCUCAUCUCCUUCCAUACUCUCUAUCCUUGCGACAAGCAGAAAUGCCCUUUGAAAUCGUUUAUAUAGACAUAUGGGGACCUUCACCUCUCCCUACACCUUCAGGCGAUAGAUACUACAUAACCUUCAUUGAUAACUAUAGUUGUUUCACUUGGCUUUACCCACUAAAACAGAAAUCAAAUGUCCAACACACCUUCAUGUUCAAACAAUAAACAGAAACUCAAUUUGUAAAAAAAAUAAAAUGCUUUUAAUCUGAUAUGGGGGGAGAGUCCACUGUGUUGGCUCAAAUACUCCAAAACAGUGGAAUAAAAAUCAAAUACUCCUGCCCCCACUCUUCGGCUCAAAAUGGACGAAUUGAAAGGAAACACUGGCAUAUAGCCGAAACAUGCCUUCCGCUUCUUGUUGAAUCGGGAGUACCGCUAAAAUAUUGGCUUGAUGCCUUUGAAACGGUUGUAUUCUUAAUUAACAGAAUGCCUACACCAGUCUUGAAUCAAUUUUCGCCACUUGAGAAACUAUACCACAAGAAAUCUAACUACAAACAGCUGAAAACCUUCGGGUGUGCCUGCUUCCCUUGCCUAAGACCAUACCAAACCAUAAACUUUCCUUUCAUUCAAAGUGUGUCUUCCUUGGCUAUAGCUCAUUUCACAAAGGCUACAAAUGCCUUAGCUCAACCAAAAAAAUUUAUGUGUCAAGGAAUGUUGUCUUCAAUGAGUCAGAUUUUUCUUUCCACCAUGGCUUUAUCAAUACACAUCAAUCAGAAAUGCCCUAAAAAAUUACACUACCGUUCUGUCUCAACACAUCUCUUAACCUCACUCAAUCUUUACCUCCUACCAGGAGCAUAAGCAGUCAAGACAUCUCAGAAGCUACAGCAUCAGCAUCCUCACUUACGGUUGAGACUUCACCUCAACACUUGCUAAGAGACCCCCUAGUUAACGAAAACUCAUUGCAGCAGGAACCAUAAUCUCCCAUCAAUCAAAGUGUGACACUAGAAGAACAUUUUAAAGAGAGACUGCAAACAGAGGGUAUUGUGACUGAAACUUCUAGACACCAGAUGAUGACAAGAGCUCAAGCUGGGAUUUUUAGACCAAGAAAUAUAUCACAAGACUUUCAACUAUUCAAAACAAUAAAGAUAAAUUCUUUCACAAUACCCACUAUGACCAAAGAAGCAAUCAGAGACCCUCACUAGAAAUCGACAACGGAAGAAGAAAUGAUCGACUUUAGCAACAUCCAGACUUGGAAGAUGGUUCCCUAUUGUCUAGAAUGAACCUCGUCAGAAAUAAAUGAGUGUAUAAUAUCAAGAAAAAUGCUGAAUGAAGCUUUCAACAAUGUAAAGCCAGAUUGGUUGCAAAAGGUUUCCAUCAAACACCUGUUAUAGAUUUUUAUCAUACCUUCAGUCCUGUGAUAAAGGCAUCAACACUACGCAUUAUACUAGUCUUAGCCAUCGCAAAUGGAUGGCAUAUCAGGCAGUUAGAUGUGAAUAAUGUCUUCCUAAAUGGGGAGUUAAAAGAAACAAUUUUCAUGAAGUAACCUGAAGCCUUUGAAGAUCCUUCAUGCCCCAACUAUGUCUGCCAACUCAACAAAGCUCUCUAUGGACUAAAGUAAGCCCCAAGAACGUGGUUUGACAAGCUAAAAUCAACAUUACUCAUAUGAGGCUUUAAGAAUUCCCAAGCCGACACAUUUAUCUUUUUCUUUAUCAUUGAAGCAAUUUCAAUCUUCAUAUUAAUCCAUGUUGAUGAUAUCAUUGUCACAGGAAACAAGCCUGAACAAAUGCAAGGCUUCAUCAGUCAACUUAAUGACUUAUUUGCACUGAAGGAUCUCGGUAAUAUCCACCUUUUCCUUGGCAUCGAAGCAUUGUGUGAUGACACCAACUGUUUCACUCAGUCCAAAUAUACUGAAGAGAUCCUUAAAAGAAACAACAUGGACUAUGCAAAACCAUGCCCUAAACCGACAGUAAUUGAAGGGAACCUGAUAGUAGAAGACAGAGAAGAACUGAUUGAUCCUGACUCCCUACCGAAGGAUAAUAGGUUCCCUUCAAUUCUUGACUCACACAAGGCUAGAUAUAUCAUUCAUUGUCAAUAAAUUAAGUCAGUUCAUGCAAAAACCAAUCGACCUUCAUUUGAAAGCCCUGAAAAGAGUGCUAAGCUACCUAAAAGGGACUGUUGAUAUUGGGCUCCACAUCAAACCGAGUGACAAACUGAGCAUCAUUGGGUACUCUGAUGCAGACUGGGCCUGUUCAAGAGAUGAUCGUCGCUCAACUUCUGGUUCUGUGUGUAUCUUAGUGAAAAUCUAAUUUCUUGGAGCUCGAAGAAGUAAAAUGUUGUAUCCAGAUCAAGUGUCGAAUCCGAAUAUAGAGCUCUAGUCCAUCUGUCUUGUGAGAUUACUUGGUUGGAGUCGUUGUGCAAAGAAAUAAAUAUCAUCAUCCCACAAGCGUCGAUGGCCUGGUGUGACAACAUGAGUGCUACAGCCCUUGCUAGCAAUCCUGUUUUUCAUUCUCGAAUAAAAUGCAUCAAAGUAGAUGUUCAUUUCAUCCAUGACAAAGUAACAAAAGGAGUUCUUGACGUCAGAUACGUUCCCUAAUGUGAUCAAACAGCCGACUGCUUCACCAAAGCGCAGUCACAAACACAAAUCAAUUACUUUAGAGAAAAGCUUGAACUAGCUAGUCGAUUGUUUCCCUUGAUAAGUUUGAGGGGGAAUGUUAAGAAGACCUUAUCCCAUCAGCAAGCGAAAGAUGACAAGUAAGCAAACUCGUCCAGGUCAUACUAAUGUCCCAGUCAGCAUGCCAACUCAGUCAUCAGCUCACGACAGAUCACGCGUGUUCGACAAUUAGCUCAUAAUCGUCCCUUCUUGUAUAAGACUGAUGUUCUUCCUUUAUUCUCUGCAUUUUUCAUUGUGAUCCUCUAUAAUUUGUUUCUCUUAGUUUUCUUGUGGCGUGCUUUCUUCUUUUUCGUCUUCUAUUGGUGAGCCACCAUGCUCUAUAAAUUGUGUAUCUCUCUCAAUGUUUCAUCAAUGAAGUAUUAAAAAGACUAUGAAUUAUCCAGCUCCUCCCCUCAUCAAAAAAUCACAAGUCUCAUUUUUUAACUUUCUCACCGUGUACACCUUUAAAGAACAAAAGAAUUUAGCUCAUUGUUACUACUUAUACAAGAGGGCAACUAAGUGAGGAUGAUGAACUUUAUAACUUGAGAGAUUUGGGUGGUGUAAUGACAUGAGAAAACAAAAUCUUAUUUGACACAAAAAAUGAAGAAAACAAAAUCUUAUCUCUUUUGCAACCAUUUGAAUUCUUUGGGGGGAAAAAAAACCUUCUAGUGAUUAUAUUUUUUCUUUAAUUCAAGGUGGAGUGUACACGUUCGGACCCUAUAUUCUUUUAUUGCUCGUGUUAUCUUAAUGAUAUUUUAAUUCCGUAAAGGUCUCGUAUUUCAACUUUCUCUUUGUUUUUAUAAAAGAUAUAUAGAUUAUAUAUGUGAUACUCUAAUGUUAUAUUGAAAUAAUAUGUAAUUGUUGAAAUUCGUAUAAGAGUUUAAGUCAUAUAAUAUUAAUAAUUUGAUUUUUUUUUUUUUAAAUUUUGAGUAUCAAUAGUUUGAGUUUGAAAAUUUAUUUAGUUAUUAGUACUUAAGUUUAAGACGUUAUAAAUAGUGUACAAAAAUAUAUAAUUGGUGACUCUAAUGAUAUGAUCAUAAAUUUUCAAUUGUAAUUUGUGAUUAUUUGAUGUGUGACACUGAUGAAAAUAUUAAAAAUUUAAAUAAUAGGGAUUGUAAUACUACGGUGUCAUAUUAAAAAAAAUAUAUAAUUAUUAAGUUUAAUACGAAAGUUUAAAUUAUACAUUACUAAUAAUUUAAAUUUAAAAUUUUAAAAAUUAAUAAUUUAAGUCUGAAAAAUUAUUAAUUCAGUAUUGCUGAAUUUUCUUCGAAGAGAAAAACCUAAUAAAAAUCUACCCUACUUAAAAAUACAAGUGAUUUAUUAUUAUUAUUAUUAAGUUUUUGACUAAGCUUAGUUAGUUUAUAAGUUUGUUUCAGAUAAUCUAAGAAGACUUUUAGUUGACCUUUCUAUGCGCCCAAUUCUCUGCAAUUCCUGAGUCCGUAAAUUUCUCUCUUCUUUUUCCCUUUUGUCAUCAUCAAGUGUGGGGAAGGAAGAGCCAGAGAAGAAUAUUCUAAAAUACUUGCUGCUAACUUUACAAGGAACGGUUGCCAUGAGACUUCACUUCUUUUUAUUUGCAUCAUCUUUCCAACUCCGAAUCAGAAUUUUUCUUAUAGCAAAUUUGGCAUAUUUCAAUGUUUAUCCUGAUUCGGAAAGUAAGCACUUUCAUCAUUAUCCAAAAAUAAAAAUAACAAUCUCAAAAGGAUAAAGAAAAAUAAAACACUCAACACUGGUAAUUAUUAGAUAAUCCAAAACCAGCCAAGAACCGAGCCACCCACCAAGCCAAUUCCCAGAAACACAACCAUUACAAUUGCAGCUAGUUCAGCUUCUGUAACUGGAACCAGCUUCGGAGAUAGCAUCAUGAUGACACUCGUUAAAUACCCAUUUGUGAGUCCAAGCAUGAAUGUUAAAACCACGACGGGCGCUUCAGUUCUCAGCCAUUUUGGUCCGUGGAGACAAGCCGCAAAGAGCGGGUAGAAAAGCAGCCUGGCCAUGCACGCCCAUACAGCCUUGUUAACACUCGACGCCACGCAAACUGCCGUCAGAGACUUGCCCACGAAAUCCGAUACAUUGUACACGGUGAUCAGCAGGAUGGGGUACCAGUCUUGAAGAAGUCUGGAUUUCAUUUCCUCGGCGAUGAAUCCCGGGAAAAUCGAGAGAGUUACGACGUAUAUAGUGAGAAUUCCGACGAUGGGACUUUUGAUUUUUCUGGCGACUGCCCAUAAUUCCGGCAUGGUUGAAGAAGAGGUGUGAUGGGCGUGGGAAACCUGGCGGUAAUGCUGCUGCAUGACUGGUAACUUGUAAAGAAAAUUACUGCAGAGGAUGCAACAGAGCAGGAUUGUGGUGGUGACUAUGAAAUAGAAAUGGGCGCUGGUUCUUAGACCUUGAGGAGUUUGUGGCAGGGAUGCCUUGGUUAUGAUCCUCAAUAUUGAAACCACAACUCCUGUCAAAACUAAUUAAUUCAAUAUCCGAACUUGUAAAUAAUUAGCAAAAUUAUUUAAUUCAGAUGACAAGAUAUUUUUAUUGUAAGGUUUACUGUUUUAAGCUGGAGUAUUUACCAUAUAUUUUAUGAUUAAAGAGAGUUAACAAUUAAAUAAAAUAAGAAUUAAUUAACGUUUGAGUUAUUUUCUGGGUCCUAUUUACAAAUAUAUAUAUAUAUAUAUAAAUAAAAGGAAUGGUACCUGAAGAAGCAGUGCCCGCAAAAACAGCCUGCAUAUAGUGUUUAGGAAGGUUGGCAGCGGAUCCCCCCAAGGUUCCUCCUAUCAAUCCAUCGGCCACACCACAGAUGACCACCGACGCCACUGUCAAGAAAAAUCCUCCAUCGAGUCUGCAAUUCCGCGAAGCCCAAUCCAUCGCGGGAGGCACCAUUAGAGAGAGAAUGAACAUAGAGAAACCCAAGUUCAUUCUCAAUCUGUAACUUAUCAGCUUCCGGCCGCAGCUCAUCAUGACGAGAAGAAGUAGUACAGAAGAAGUUAAGUAAGCCACGGAGAAAACUUUCUCGACGUGGCGGGAAGGAUAGAGGGAGCCAAAGUAAUCGACGGCCGUGAUGAAAGCAUUCCAUGGAAGCAAAUUGCCUGCGCCGAGCAAGAAAUGGAUUAUGUACGCCAUUCUGUAUGUGUCUUUUGGUUCAUCUCCCUCAGGGACAAUGCUAUUAGUUAUACCCUUCCUGUCUUCCAUCAAUUCUCUCUUAAAUUUUGGACCAGUCCUAUAAUAUAUAUGUGUGUGUGUGUGUGUGUAUAGCUAACUAGCUAAUUAGCUUCUUCUAACAGUUAUUAUAUAUAAGCUGCGGCCUCUUUCAACACAUAUGGUGCAUUGAUUUGAUCAUUAGCAUUAUAAAGGCAUGCAAAGUUAAUCAAAGCUGAAAGAGCUCACAAUUAUAUAAACGUCUCAUCAUCACCCUACCCUUUAGUCUUUAAUUGAUCAACAUGCCUAUGCAAACUUGUUUAUGUUGGGCAAUGUAUAAAUUAAAAUUAAUUUACUGUUAAAGUUAAAAUUACGAAGAAAUCUGAAAAAAAAAAUAUCACAACAUUGAACUGGGUUGUAUUUUUAACCUGAAUUAUAUAUCUAUAUCCCAAUGCAUAAUCCAGCAGAGAAGGUUGAUGGGAGGUGUAGUUCAAUUAGAGUGGUGAUGGAUUUGAUUGAUGGGUUGAAAGACUAGCUAGUGGGGACCCAAAACGGACGGGCGGUGUUACAAGUAUCUUUUUCUUUUUCCUUUGUUGUCGUACUCAGCAACACAUGGCUUAAGAUUAAGGUUAUAACUGCUAUUCUUCACCUUGAUGUUCCAAGAAUCUCAAACCACAACUUGUUCAUAUCUACUUGUUAACCCUUAAACAAAAAUUUACUACGAUUUUUUAUCUCGUUGUAACUAUUUCAAUUAAUACGAUCUAAUCAAACGAAAUAUUUUCAAGAAAGCUAACGAGAUUAGGCCAUAACACAUCUCCGUCUCCCACAAAACCUUAUAAGGCACAAUCUCAAAAACUUGUACAUUAUAUUUCUAAAUAUUAGUCCUUUUCUUUUCUUUGUUACCUUAAAGUUUGGUGAAGUUUCUUUUUCUUUUCACAUUAUUACAAAGAUUGUUAAUUUACAACACUUUGAAUAAUCAUGAGUAGAAUUUUGAUAGUCACUAAAACUAAGACUAUUACCACACACGAAUUAGAAUUUUGAUCUCUCUAACUCUAAUAACAUGUUUUGAACCUUAUACAUCUUUUCAGCAUAUAAAUAUUUCUAAAAUUCAACCAAAAAAAAAAUUUACACUUCAAAAUCUUAAAAGUACAUAUCACAGUAAUAUUCAUCAACUAAUUGAGUUUGUGUUUGAGCAGAGAACCAAACUGGCUCUUGACGAGAACGUAAACAUGAAGUGAAGGAUAGAUGUAUUGUCUUUUUGCUCAAUUAACCAAUCUGAUAACACAGAACUCGAUUCCAUUUUUCAUUCUUAAAAACCAAAAAGAACAACUAUAUAUACAUUUAUAUAUAUAUAUAUUCCUUUAUUUUCUACUCCUUUCUUUUAGCCGCUUUUGUUUACUCCAUCAUAAACCAAUAAUAACAAAUGACAAAAUGUUUUUUUUUUUUUAUGUGCUUUUUAUUUAUCUCUCAUCAAUUAUUAUUAUUAAGAGUAUUUUCUUUUUGUUGAAAUAUGCAUCGAGAGAAACUGCAUGACUUUCAAAAUUACUUAUAUGAGAAAAUUUAUAUAUAUUCUAAUAAAUACUUUAAAUAUAUGCAUAGUUUCAUCAUUCAUCACUUGUUGGAAAGAUUUUAUUUUUAAAUCUGUUAGAUAUACGUCUUUCUACUACACAUCUAAAUCAAUUAGAUAUAAAUCUGAUUGUUUUUCUUUUUUUUUUUUCUAAAAUAAUUGGACCUUCAUUGAUAAAAUGUCUUUAACAUACUGAAAUCUUUUUUCCUCAUAUAAUUUUAUAGAAAUAAUAAAUUAUAUGAUUUUAAGACUACGAUGAAUCUAUACUAAAAUUAUUUAUUUAUAACAAAAUAGUACAUAAAGUCAACAGAUUUCAAUGAACACGAAGUAAAAUUUAUGGUUACACAAAUCGUUAAGAAUAAUUUUAGAUCUAAUCUAAGAGGAAUUAUUGUAGGAGAUUUAUUAAAACCAUUGAAUUUAGAAUAUGGUAAAAUAGCUCAUCGAUGGAAACGACUCAUUUGAUGAGUGUUGCAAUGGCUCUGUUUGCGGUAUUCGUAUUCAUUAUUUUGAAGAUUUAUAAUUCUUCCAUUUUACUUAAUAGAAUUUCAAUGAAUUAGACUCACAAAAACAAUAAAAUCUUGACUUUUUCAAUACGAAAAAUAAAGUGAAGAAUUUAUGUAUAAGUUUUUUUAGAUAAUCUCUUAAUCAUCCCAUCAAAUAAGUAGAAAAUUCAUUAAAUUGUGAAAUAUUACAUGUCAUAAUAUGAUGUAUUUAUAAUAUUAAUAAAAAGUAACUCAUCCAAUAAUAUGUAUUAUCUGGAGAACUAUCAAAUAAAAAGCAUUUUAAGUUGAAAUAUCACAAGUACCACCUCGUCUUGGAUCAUUACAAGGAAAAUUAUAAUCGAAUUUCUUUUUAUCUGGUAUAAACUGGGAACCAUAGGCAUUUAAAAUACCUUUUACUAUGAUCAAUAUAGUUAUAUGUAAACUUAAAGCAAUGGCAUGAUGAACUAAGAAGUAUACAUGAUUUAUUAGUAAGAAUACUGAAUUAUUAUUCUUAUUAAUAAUAUUUAAUAAGCUAAGCAACCAUAUAUUUUGAUCCGUAUUGAAUGUUAAGCCAGUUAUGAUCAGUUCAAUUAAAUGAAUCGUCUCUCUAACUUCUUUAAGCUUUACCAAAAUCUUUACAUAAUAUUUUCAAACCGAAAACAUGCAAAUUAUGGUAAUAAAAAGAUACUACAAAAUAAUUACGUCCUUUAUGUUAUAUAUUAUUAUUUUCUUUCACUUUAAAUAUUUUAAUUAAAAUUUUCUAAUAAUUACAUAAAUGACAAUUAAGGAAUACUAUUUAUAAAAUAAUUACUUUUAGUUUGGAAUCUUAGAACUUUUAGAAUUGAGAUCAUAUUGAGAAUUAAAUAUAUUAUAUUGAAAGUGAAAAAAUGUCAUGUUUUUUUAUAAUUAAAAAAUAUGAUAUUUUGCAUAAUAAAAAUAUUUUCAACUAUGAAACAUAUUCAAAUAUAAUGUACUUAUAUAUUUAUGUAUUUUGCCACUAUGUAUAAGAUAAUUAUUCUAACUUUUUAAAAUUGAGAUUGUAUUAAGAGUUAAAUAUUAUAUCAAAAGUAAAAACACAUCAUAUUUUUAAUAAUUAAAAAAUUUCAUAAUUUUCACAAUAAAAACAUUUUUAGCUGUGAAACAUAUUCAAAUAUGAUGUAAUUAUAUGUUUAUGUGUUUAUCUAUGUGCCUAUACAAAAUAUUAGCUAGCAAUAUAUAUAUAUAUAUAAAAUGAAACAUAUUCAUUAUUUACCCAUCUAACCCUCCAUUUUCUCCAUCAAAUCCCUUAUGUCUUUGUCAUCAUUUUGGUUGGCAACAAGCUCCCUCAGGCUAUAACUCAGUGGAAGAGAAGGUAUUCUCUUAGUUAUUCUACAUCCACCUCCCACAAUUUGUGAUAAAACAAUGUCGCAAAUAAAGGUUGAAGAGAGCCGAAGACAUCGUCCGCAUUUCCUAAAUGACACACAAUAUUUAUGUAGAACGAAGAAAAUCAAAUCAAAAUUGUAAUUGACGAAAAAUUGAGGAUUCAAAUACUUCAAAUUCACAUAAAAUAAAAUUCACGCGCGUAUUCUUAAAUGAUACACACAUUUGCAUAGAAUGAAGAAACCCAGAAUAAAAUUGUAAUUUACAAAAAUUUAAAUACUCAAAUAUUUUAAAUUCAUAUAAACUAAAACUCAUAUGCGGAUCUGCUAAUUUAAUAAUGAAACGUAUUAGAAUAUAAUAUACGAAUACUAAUAUUUUCUUUUUGUUUUUUUAGGAGUUAUUAUUAAUGUAGAAGUGAGUAAAAAUUUUUAAAUCAACCAUUAAAGCUCUUGAAUUUAAUACUUAAAAAAAGAAUAUUGCAAAUUUUUGAAGACUAGAUUAAGUUCUUAUGAUUUUUUUUGGAUCGUUAAAUAAAAAAGAUAAAUCUAGAAAUUCUUGAUGAUCCCCUCAAAAAAUAUUCAAUUUCCUUAAAAGGAGUCUUACCAUAAAAAUGCAGUAAAAAAAAGUGGCGCCGCAUGCUUUACUCAUCUUCCCCUGCUUGUUUGCCGUGUUUGGGAAAGAGAGCGCGAGAGAGAGAAAGCAAAAGGGUUUGCUCGUUUGGACUUUAGAGAGGGAGAUGGGGAUGGAGAAAAACGUGGGGACGACGUCAUCAUCAAUGCAAAACGCAGAGGAGCGUGGCGCCGGGGGCAAAUUAAGGAGGCCAACGCCACGCCGACCGCCGGCAACGCCUUACGCACGACCGCAGCAGAAUCAAUCCCAGCGGAGCGGCUGGCUCUCGAAGGUUGUGGAUCCGGCUUGCCGGCUUAUAGCUGGCGGCGCCGCCCGGAUUUUCCCUUAUCUCUUCUCCAAUUCGCCCGACAUUCGCGCCCUUCCUGCCCUAGAUAUUGAGAAACAGGAUCACGGUUAGCUCAACUCUCUCUUUAGUUAACAAGCUAGGACAUCGAUUAGGAAUAGGGUUUUUUUUUUUUUUUUUGGUUUUGGUGGGACUUGGAGUUUUCUUUUUCUUUUCCUUUUGGAAUAGAAAGGCAAUUUGCGCUUAGACGAAAGAAGAUAAAUUGGGCCUUUUAGGGUUUAUUGCAUUUAGGUGCGAGUACUUUUGCCGAUUACGUUGGCAUGUAACAGUAUUUGAUUCUUAAUAUUGUUAUGGACAAAUGCCUACUUUUUAGAAGCAUUAUAAAGUUGACAUAAAAUGAAAUUCUGAGAACAUAUUUCAUUGUUAUUUAACGAGUUGUGAAGUCAAGUAUUAUGUCUUCAAUGUUGGGGAUUUUGGAGCGGAUCAAAGUGUUAAAAUUGCAUUGGACCAAAACAAGUCUAUGUUUAUGGAUUAAAUUCUUUGUGCUAUCUCAUCUACCGAAGAUGGCAGUGAGAAAUUCUUCUUUUGGAGGGACAGUCUAGUUACUAUUUUGCUUCAAACGAUGUAGCCUUAGAUUGUUUGUUAUCAUAAGCUGUCUCGUUAUUUAUCUGCCGGUUCAUCUUUUGCUUGAUAAUGAUAAUUUUCUGGUGUGUAUUUGAAAAAGACAAUUUUUUUGGAUGCUAUGUUAAAUAUGCUUGCAGAUUAGGGUUAAAACAACUGAUUCUUUUAUUUACAAAUUUUUAUUUGACAGAUCCAUUUGACGCUGACUUGAAGCACCAUGAUGGUGGUGGUGAUCACAAUUGGACUGUACAUGUAAGGCCGUUUUUCUUUUCCCUGUCUCUGCCAGCCUCUCAUUUAGAUAAUAUCUUCUAAUACCUAAAGUGAUACCCAUUUGUAGAUAUAUCCUGAUAUCCUAAAGCUAGGUUCAUCUUAUGCCCUGGAAUCCAUCAUUAGUUUGAUGUUUAGUUGUUUCACUCCACUCUGUUAUAUGUAACAUAGUUUCUGCUUUUUCAUUUUAUAGCUUUGUUACUUUUUUCUGGUUUAGGUUCCAUUCUGUAGGAAUAUUUCUAUCAAGCUACUCAGAAUUGGAGUCUUAUUUUUUGAGCCUCCUUCAGCGUUAAAUGAGCUGCGAAAUUAAAAUUUAAUGGCAUCAUGUUCAUUAAGCAUGGAUAUGCCUUGUGUUCUUUGAAGCAUUGUGGUAUAAAACCAUAUGCUGGUAUCAAACGUUUUUGCUAAUCCUUACAUUUCUUUCUCGUAAAGUUUUUAAUUUCCAAGUCCUUUCCAUUUUCUUUCAGUUGCCACACUUCAAAAGAGGGAAACUAUUAAGGUGUAAAGGGCUCUAAUAAAAUUUCUCGUAAAAAUGGGCUUUAAUGAAAAUAGAACUGUAGCUAGUACUCUAAUUAGUUUUUAAACAGUUAUUAGGAAGAUUAGAGAACGAAAGAUUCAGAUGGAAGAUUCAGUUAUCAUGCAAGUUGCUGUCAUCCCUCUUUUAAUAUUUUGUUAUGUGAUCAAUUCAUUCAAGCUUAUAUGGGUUACAGGAACUCCUUUUCUGAAAUUCUUCUCUACUUCCUAUUUUUUUCUUGCAUUGAUACUUAUAUAGGUUACAGGACAAUAAGGCAGAAAUGAAUUCUUUUUUUGAGAGAAAAUAAAGUAUAUCAACAAUGUGCCAGAGGGAUGCAGCCCAAUUACGAAAUGUUUUUACAGGUCAGUUAAAAUGUCCAAAAGGUCCUCCAAAUUCUCAACAUAAAUAAGAGGAUGAGCCUUGAAGAAAAAGCAAACAGAAUUGAGGUCUAACUCCCCUAUUGGGAGAAGCAAUGCCUUGAAAAGACCUUAUAGUCAUCUCCUUCCAAAUAACCCAGAAAGCGGCCAAGGGGAUAAGAGAUAAGAAUUUCUUCCUAUGGUUAUCACGCUCGAUGCCUUUCCAUGCCUCUGCAGUUUCUAUGGGAUAGAAUGACUUCUUUGGCAUCUUUGUGGGCCAAGGCAUAUGGUAGUUUUAGAGACAAUGUUUUAUCUUGCUACCACCCCAGCCUGUGAUCCUUCAAUAGAAAUGGAGAUGUUGAAUUUUGAAUUUCAGAAUCAACCUGACCAAAAAGCCUUUUGGAUUUCUUCAUAUUCAGAGCAUGCAUAAUAUUUGUGAUUGCCCACUUUGCACUCCGUUGACAAUGAUAAUGGGCCCAUUAUAGGUCGGGAAAAAUACAGAGAAUAUGAGAGCAGAUUUUUUGUUCGAAGGACGUUGUUGCCUUGGUACUGUAUAUUUUUGUGAAAGGAUUUCUUUUAUAUUUUUGGCAUUUGGUCUUACGCAUUUGGGUGUCUCAUCUUUGUCACAAUGUUUAUGCAUGGUAGGUAUACUUAUCAAAAUGUAUAAGAAAGAAUUAAGGUACAACAAAACAAAAAGCUGGCAUAAUUUUCAUACCGAUAUCUUCUUUCCAUGUCAAUUGUGUGAGAGUCACUAUGUCACACCACGUCAAGCGGAUAUCGGAUUAUGGAGUUUUAUUUGAACCUUGUUGCUGAGGAUUGCAUUCCAUGCUGUAUGAAAAGACCCAAAAUUGGAAAUGCAAUAGAAUUAUCAAUCUAAUUCCAUUCCUUGGUCAACCAAACAAGGCAUGUAGUAAUUUGGUCAUCCAUAUGCUUCUGAGGUUCCAAUAGUUGUAGUCUAUGAUUUUGUUGAGAAAUUCCUCAACCAUUUGUCUUAAUGUUAGGAAAUCAAUCUUUCUAAAAAAAAUGGUACAUUGAUUGGGGAAUCUUGCUGUAUGAAGAUUUAAUUGGAUUUGAUUUGAUAUUAUUAGUUCCAUUUUUUUUUUCUCUUUGUAACAGCUAUAUAUACUCAUAUAUAUGCCCAUUCUCAAUGCAGAAGAAAUUCAAUUUCUCUCUAAAUUCUGCAGUUUUUCAUGUAUGUGUAACCUAGUUGCUGCUUAUCCUCUUUUUCUUAAAUGGAGAUCCUCCUUUUUUCUAACUGUAGCUUUAUUUUAUUGAAUAAAAUAUUUGCAUUAUGAUGGAUGAGAUCUUACCAGUUACUUUUCUGUCUGUUUGGAAUUUUCUCCUAUAGCAUUCAGAAUCAGGAUUUCCUGGAGUAGCGGGUCCUAGCAAAACAGCAGAUAGGUCAGAUGUUGCACCAAAACAAAGCAAAAUGGGGCUGAUUAAUGACGAUGAGCUUUCUGCAAUUGAGAAGCUGAUGGAGGGAAAGAAGUUUUCUAGGUAGUUCAUAGUUGUUGAUUCUCAUGUCAAUUCUAAUUGGAAAGCAAGUCCCUGGAGAUGCAUGAAAAGUAAAAUAAAGCAGCGGAUUCUUGAUAAUAUUCACCACAUUUACCAUGUAUUUUUUCUCAUUUUUAUUAAAUAUCUUUGAUGAAAGCCUCUUCAUCUCCAUUCUAUUUUUUUGCUAUCCAGGGAUGAAGUUGAUCAUCUAUUAGAGAUAAUAAAUUCAAGGGCUGUUGACCCAAGGGAUGCUGAUCAGGAAAAUAAGUAUCCAGGACUGACUAGAAAAGAAGAAAAAGAAGCUGUCAGGCCCGUAGUUACUCCAGAAGAUUCAAGAAGAACUGAAGAAAAGCAGGAGGAUGUGAAUAGAGUUCUGUUGGCAACCUCAACACCACUUCUCCAGUCAAGUGUGAGUAAAUUAUCACUAUGGGCAUGCAUUGGGAUCCACUAUGUGUAUAUGAAAAUAUUUAUCUCUAGCAUGAUUAGUAUGCUGAUUCUUGAACAUUUCUUGAGGUCACAGUUUCUAUAGGUUAUAACGGAAAUUAGUGGUACUCUAGAAACUGUUGGGAAGAAAAUGGCUGAAUCCUAUUUGUGUUAGGAGUUCUCAUUGAUAGUUUGUGGGAAGGUAAAAAAGACUAAGAGAGUGUUUGAGAUUGUUUAUUUGUUGUUUAUAAGCAAUUUUAAACACUAUUACGAUAUUUACGUGUUUAUUAGGUUCUCAGAAGUGGCUUCAAGGAGACAAAAUAUAAGCUGGCAGGGUCUGUGUGAUGGAUGUAGUUAUCGGAUUGUUUACAUGGAAAUCUGUAUAAUUUGUGUGUUUUUAAGUUUUCCUGCCUUUAUCUAUUCUGAGUGUAAACACAUUAUCAAUUUUAUUCCAAUUUUCUUACACAACACUUUAUCAAUUUUCUUCCAUAUCCUUUUAAGAUUAGAAAUUGGGAUGUAUACAAUAGAGGAAUGAUCUAUACAAACACUUAAAAGCUUAUUUUUUAAAUAAAAGUUUAUCUGCUUUUAGUGACUUAAAGCGCCUUACUAUUUUAAGCACGUUUCUUUCAACAAUCCUGAACAUUCUCUUAUUUCACCCCUUAGCAAAGAAGGAUAAAAAAAAGAGGAGGGUUAUUAAAUAUUCUUCUAUUUCUUCUGUAGCUUGGAUUUUUCUUUACUUUUUUUCCUCAUAGGAAUGGUUGUUUCUUUGAACAUUUUAUUGCUUAUUGUUGUCAUUAGAAUGUCAUUUCUUAGAUGGAUUUGUAUUUGAUAAUUAUGAUAAUGAUAUAAAGUUUUUGCAGAUGGCAGAUGAGGUUGGUGCUUCGCCAAUUGAAAUUGCAAGAGCCUACAUGGGAAGCCGGACAUCAGAUGUAAAUCAUGGUUCGAAGAGUCUAAUGUCAAAAGAUGAAAGGUUUUCACUGCACAGGGAUGGGUUUCCAUCAAAAUUACUUGUACCAUCUCCUUCCCUUAAGCCAUCAACAUGCUGGCCUGGUGCUAUAUUACGGGAUCAACGAGGUUACCUAAGCCCACAAAUUCAAAGAGGGAGAUCUGGGCUUCAUAAUUUCCCACGGACUCCAUAUUCUAGAACUAUCUAUUCAAAAGCAAAAUCCCAGGUAUAAACAAUUAGAGUUGUGCUUUGACUUAAGGAGAUUUGUUAUGAAUUAUCUCAAAAAAAGAGAUUUGUUUAUGAAGAGUAAGAAGAUUAUUCUUUUCCUCAUGUCCUCAGUUGAAUCCAUUACAAGAUGGUAGCAGCAUGCACCGAAAUAUAUCUUCUACUUCUUUCCAACAGUUGCAAACUCCUUCGCAUGGCCUGGUAAGGCUCACAAUAGCAGUUUUUUAUACUGAUACUUCAAUUAUUUCUUUUUGGCAUCUUCAUGCUGCCUUGACUUAUUCAAAUAUGAACUCUUUAGGUUACAUUGGAACUUACGUGGUUCCUCUCAUUGAAAAUGAAUCUUGAGAACGGAUAUCAUUGUUGAUUAUUGUCCUAUUACAUGCUUGAUAAGAAAUAUCUUAAUAUAAUUUUCUUGCUUUCACAAUUGGCUCUAUACUGAAUAUAAGCCUUUUAUGGUAGGGUAGCAUGAAGCAGCUGUCACUCUUAUUAGCUUUUAGAAGAUACUGCUUCUAGCAUGUUGUGCUGACAAUACAUGUUCAGGUUGACCUGUAGAAAGGUAAAUUAAGAAAAAUGAGUGCCGGUUAGCUCUUUGCUUUGACUUCAAAAUAGUUCCUGACCUCUUAACUCUUAAAAUUAAGAAGUCAGCUUCAUUUUUGUACCAGUCCUUUUGUCAAAAUAAUCUGUUUAAUUUAACACAGAUUACUAUGUAACCACCACAUCAUUUAAAGAAGAUGAUAUUAUCUCAAAGAAAAUUAAAGAAGAUGAUAUUAUCUCAAAAGAAAUUUAAAGAUGAUGUGGCAGCCACAUGUCAGCAUUCUGUGCCAGAAAUUCAACUUUCUCAAAAAUAAAGAAGAACCAUUCCACCCAGCAGCCAUUAACUCCCUAUCCACACAACUUGUCCCCUCAAUUUGCUGUCCUUGAAGUUAAUUUUUUUUCUUCUUCAGCUUCAUUUUUUACCAGUCCUUUUUCCAAGAUAAUCCAUUAAGUCUAACAGAGGUUGCUGUGUAAGUACCAAAUCAUUUAAAGAAGAUGGUGUGGCAGCCACAUGGCAGCAUUCUGUGCCGUAAAUCCCCAACUUUUCUCAAAAAUAAAAAAGAAUCAUAUCACCCUGCAGCCAUUAACACUGAAUUCACGUAACUUGUCUCCUUUGCUCCCCUUGAACUUGAUUCCUUUCUUCCUCAGGUACUCUAUACAUACAUAUUGAUACAAUGUGUGUUUUUUAACUUUUAACCAAAGUAGGAACUUGAAAAAACAGGGAACAUUAUUUUUUUAAAAAAAAAAGAAAAAACGGGGAACAACCAAGCAAUAAGAAAGGACGCUGAUAUAAACAAAAUCCAGGGACAAAAAUUAAGUACCAUGAAUUGUUAAUUAUUUGCAAAAAAGCAUGCAGUAGGUCUAGAGAUUGGCCAAGUUUCAAUAAGGUGCAGAGCUAUCAGAAGUAGUGGUUUCUGAUACUCAUGAGGAAGACUUAUAUUUUGGUUGGUAGAAGGCUUAUGGUGAAGACCCUUACUGCAGACUCAAUAACUCCACAGGAGUUAUUCACAUAGACUUGACAGAGAAUCAAGUAAGCUGCAAAUAUGAUCACCACCAGUCAUCCAACUGGUAAUAAAUUAAGUUAUAUACUAAAAGAACUUUAUUUUGAUUUAAUUAGGAUUUUUAAAUAAAGUAUUUCUUUCAGACAGGUGUAGUGUCUAUUUACUUUCUUCCCUUCUUCACUAGUAAUAUUCAUAUAGUAUAUUAAUAGUUAUUAGAAAUAUAUAGAGAAAAAGAAGAGAGAAAGUAUCCGUAUAUAUCAAGUUUCAUGCACUGUUAUUAUCUGAUUUUAUUUAUACGUACGCAUAUGAAUACAAUAAAAAAUUAACUGGGGAGACUGGAGGAGCCAAAGUUUUCUUUGGUCGGUCUGGGUGUUAAUGGCUGCCACAUCAUUUUUUAAAUGAUAUGGAGCUUACGUGGCAGCCUCUCUUAAAUUUAAUUUGGAACCCAAAUGGAAAGUUGGUUCCUUAAUUUAAAGAUUCCAAGAGUUGGGGAAUAUUUUAAAAAUCAAAGCAAGAGUGAGGGACCAAAUUUGGAACUAAAUCCUUGGAUUUAUGUCCUAGAACAAUUCAUUUAAAAUGUAUUUUGGGCUUAACUCAGAUAGUUACUGUCAAUGAAUGUUCAUUAUUACUCUCUCUGUCUCGCUUCACGGGUGUAUGUGCAUGUACAUUUAGAAGUUGUUUUUUGGUUCUGAUACAUCAGUUUUGUUGUGCAUUUUGUUAUUACAGAGCGUAUCUUAUUCUCUCCUGAGAUUCUAUUUCUUUUGUUUAAAAUUGUUAAUAUGGAUCCUGGUUGAAUUAUGUUUGUCUCCUUGAGGAAUGGAAAUAGGUCCAUGAACACUUGUUUAUGCAUACUUUAGGCUGAAUAUUUGAUCAUAGCAACUUUUGAUAUCCAGGAAUUAUACCCCUUCUUAGAAGAAUCUAGGGUUAUUUUAAAUGUCACUAUAAGCAACUUAUCAAGGCUAAUAUAUUAAAAAAAAUUACUAUGCAUCUUAGUCUUAUAGUGUUUAGACUAUAAGCAACUUACCGCCGAGACUAAUAUACCUUCUUAAAAUUACUAUGCAUGUUAAUCUAAUUGUAUUUAAAUGUAACCUCUUAAUUUUUAGAUGAGUUGAUGCUUUAUAUAACAUCUAAAGCCUUCCCCAUUGUAGCAUGUACUGGCUAGAUACCAACUUCCUGUACCAGUACUGUGAAUUACAGUAUAUGUUCCAGGUAGCACCAACUUUUUAUUUCUAUUGCAGUUGAUUUUUCUGAAUCUUUUUUCGGUACAUAUGUUGGUGUUUGAUGAAUCUUAUCUUUUGAAUACAUAGUUUUCAUCAAGGAAGAAAGAAGUGGACAAUGAGCAUGGAUCAGUGGGACCCAUUCGUCGGAUUCAGCAUAGAGUUGUUGCAGAAACUCCUUCCAAAGAAUCCAUUUACUUCCGUUCUCCUUUAAAUGUUUCAUCUCAAUUGGAAAAUUCCAGUGUCUCAAAAAGCAUCUUUCCAGCUGUCGAGAAGAAUCUGGAACUCGGUGGAACAAUUGGUGUUUCUAUUUCUGAAUCAGAGGAGGGUAAGCGCAAAUGCUCUGCAGUGGGUAACCAAACAGUUCAUCCACAUUCUAGUCAGAUGGCUAGGACCAUACUGGAUCAUCUUGAGAGAAAUUUACCCACUCCAAAAGACAAGGCUGCUGAGUUAAAGUUAGUUACUUCGUGGAGGAAGUCCCAGUGUUCUGAUGUUGCUGAUGUAAUGGCAAAUGAGCAGAAUAACUUACCAUGUGGAGAAAGUUUUGACUUUAAAAAAUACAUUAAUCAAGCUGAACAGAAGAAUUCAGCCCAGUUCGUAGAAGACAGAGGGAAUUCCUCAAUUAAGGUUCCUCAAUCCCUUUUUAAGGUUCCUUUUCCAAGCCUAAGUAGUAAUAAUGAAUCUAAUGAUGCUCUGAAUAAAAGCUCUUCAUCUUCAAAUGCAAAAUAUGAUGGCACAGUUACAGCACAUAUCAAUAAUUUGUGGCCUUCAUUCAAGUUCAGUAAGACUGAGGAUUCUCGGGUCAAGACUGCUUAUGAGGUAUCUACUUCUAGUUCUACCGACCCAAGCUCUUUAUCUAGUGUUUUGCCUCUGCUAGUAUACAAAUAUGAUAUAGAUCGUUGAGGUGUAUCUUCAACAUUGAUGUUCUGAAAAAUUACAAUUUCAACAAUUAUUUCCUGGAUUUGGCCAAUACCUUGAUGCUCUCUCUAUCAAAGUGUGAGAAAAUUUACACUUAUUUUGGGGAUUUGGGUUCGGCUUACUGCAGUCAAGCAAUCUGUUGUCAGACUGGUGAGCAUCUAACAAAAACCAGCCAAGAGUGUUUGAUUUUUCAAAAUUGGCUGGAUGAAGUGCUCGUUGGUUAUAUUUUUCAUGUUCUUUAAGCUGACCAUUGUACAAGCAGCAACCAGAACUGCAUUUAGGAACUAAAAUAAUAUCCUGACAUGUAUAUUGUUGCACUUGUUACUGAAAAAAAGUGGUUGCACUUGUCAUAAAUUUAAUGAAUAGGUUGAAGAUUUGGGCCAAAAUAAUUUCAUCUGCCUGAGGGCUGGAGCCAAUUCUGAUGGUGUGUGACAAAAAUACUUAAUAGUGGAAGUUCAGAAUGUGCGAUUGUAAAAUUACCCACGCUUACUUUUGCAAAAGUUAAAAUGUGAAUCUUUGAUUAUUAGUCUGGACUUUCAUUUACUGGUUCUUCUGAAUUUUACAGUUUUUUUAUUAGACAUUCCUGCAUUUCUGGUCUACCUUAACGUGGAUUAAAAAUGAAGUUAAGAGCAUCCUUUCCCCUGGAGAAUCUGAUUGAGUUUUAUUACAUUGUGAUGUUUGAAAUAUCUAUUUCACUUUUUUGGGUGAUCAAUAUUGCAAUCAUAAUGUGAAGAUACGUUGAUAUAUUAUAUAAUUAAUUUUGUAUUUGUCUUGCUGACUCAGCUUGCUGCAUGAAUUCCUUGGAAAUAUGAAUAGUUAGCUUACACGAUGUGAGCAUUUUUUAUGUGCAACUGAACUUAACAAUAGACUUGAAGCAAGUGUUAUCAUAUAUACAUUUAGAGCUAAUGUGAUGUGGCUCCAAUUUUCUUAUCAGGAUGCUGCAAAGAUUGCUGUUAAUGCUGCUAGCCCCAAGAUGCAAGAUCUCCAGAAGCCCCCUUCAUCUUUAGGGACUAAACCAGUGUUGCCUUCAAUUUCUGUCGGCAGACCUGAACAAAGGUGGACAUUUCCUUCUGAUAAUACUGCAGGGUUUACUUUUCCGGUUUCUUCUUCUGGUGCAUCAUCUGAGCCUCCAACACCGUCCAUCAUGCCAACCAUCUCAGCUAGCGUUCUGCAUCAACCAACAGAGAAACAUGAUAUUUGUUCGUACAGUUUUGGUUCAAAGAGGUCUAUACCUGCACUUGUCUUUUCUUUCCCAUCCACGAGCAGUGCAUCUAACCACGAUGAAGUAUCAGAUGUAAAGUUCAGCUUUGGAUCAGACAAGACGACAAGGAUAUCUUUCAGUUCAUUAGGGAAAGAUGCUAUCUGCUGUUAAAAAUGACUUUGGGUGCUGUGCUGAGUUAUGGGUUGGUUAAUAUUCAUUGGGAUUAGAGAAGUGUGCAAGAAAUUGUUAGAUUUAACUCCAUUAGGAUUUACUAAUGCUAUUCUUUUUCUGGGUUCUGAUUUCCAGCAGAUUACUGAGGUUAGCGCUGCGUUAGAGCAUCAUAAGAUUGUAAUAAUAGUUGGUUGAACAAAAGAUGAGGCUGAAAGCUGAAGUUGAUCACAGAGUAUUUUCUGGUAUGAAUUUUCAUUCUCUUAUCUUGUGUUUGAUUGUAAACGAGUCACAGCCUUGGUGUCAUUGUUCGCCCGUAGCACAUCAGGAACUGCUAAUACUACAUUAGAACUUGAAAAGCGCAUAGGCUUGGUCAUGAAAUGAAAAUUCUUGCGGUUCCUUAGUAUUAUUGGUAUAGGAACGAUUGGUAGCAUGGUCAAGUCACCUGAAGGUAAAUGGGAACUUGCCGGUCCUCUUAGUCAGAUCCAGGAAGCAGGAAAGUCUGUAGUACUUUGGAGAUACUACAAUACAUUCUAUUAAUUGAUUAUUAUAUUGAAAUUAUUAAAUUACUAUGAAUUUAGAAAAUUACUGCAGGCAUGAUUUGCAACAUCACAGCACCCCAAGAGGCAGCUUCUUGUUCUUUUGCACUUCAUGUCCUCCCCGAGAGAUGGCAUUGGUUAGUGGUGUGUAGUAGUAAAAUGGGUUUGUAAACCAUGUAAGUAUAUAGAGAGAGACGUGGCACAGGUUCGGUUCGCACAUUUGAUUCGACGAAGGGGGAAUAAGUAUAUAAUAGAGGAACAUGAUUCCACUAGAAUCAUAUAUUGCCUCCAUUUUCACGACAAGAACUUGUCCUCUCUAUCUGCUUAAAAUCCUUCUUCGUCCCCACUCUGUGGCCCACCAUCAUGUCUGCAAGAUAUAAAUGAUGAAUAGAGAGUCAGUCUAAGUGAGGAGGGAGAAGUGAAAUAACAAUGGAAAUUGGAAAUUGGAAAUUGGAAAUUGGAAAAGUAGGCAUGAAUUUGACGUUUCAGAUUCUAAUGUCAGAAAUGGGUUGCAGUCUACUACCAAGGCCAGCUGCAACAGCAGCUUGAGCUUAGUCGUAUUGCACUUGUUUUCCCGACUGGUGACUUUUACCAUCUGGCUAUCGCACACUCCACCAUUUAUUUUCUCUUUAUAUUUUUCAUACACCAUCUUUCUUAUUAGACAACUUUUAUAUAUAGGUUUGUAUGUAUAUUUGGUGACUCGUGAUCUACUACCAUCUGCUUCCAGAUCCCGAGGACAUGUCAAUCAUUUAAGUCUUUCUACCUUCUCUCUUCUUCAUUCUCCAUUUUUCCCAUUACAGUUUUGAUCCUUCCCAUCUUUUUAAAAUUGAGGAGGGUUUUUUUGUGCUACGAAGAAUGUCCUUGUAUUACUACUAUCUGAAGCAUUCACAAAAUACAUUCAUAUUCAAUUUUAUUGCAAAAUUUCAUUUACUCAGUAAUUUGCGAAUAAUUGUUAGAGAAAGAACAAUCUUAUAAUCAGGAGACACAGACUCUCGCACUGUUUUUGGGUCAGAUGAUUAUUUGCUAUCAAAUAUAGGGUUUAAAGGGGUGUGUUUGUUAUAAAAUUAACUAUGAAGGCAUUUUUUUUUUGUAAAUAUAUUUAACUUAAAAGAUAUUUGUGUAAAAUUCUUAGGACAAUUUAUCACCAGUCACUUUUUAUUUGCAUGGUAUAUAAUCAAAGACAUUGACUAGUUCAUAUACCAAGCUUGUACUUCAUUUCCAUAUUUAGCAUGGAGACAUGUUAUUACAGUGCAAAUAAUAAGUUGAACUAUUUUUCAGAUCAAUUUAUUUUAAAGUAUCAAUCAUAUAAAUCUCAUAUUUCCCGAAAACAAAUUUCUUAUAUGCAUGUAUACUUUAGUCAGUUCAUUGAAAUUCACUGGCAUCUUUCGACUUGAAUUAUAAAAAGACUAAUUUGUGAUACUCAUUUUAGCAUAUUCUUUUUUAGACUGGUACUUGUCAGCUUUUAUUCAUAAACACAGUCUUCACUUAGAGGCUUCAUAUGUAUGGUUACUUUGGUUGUAAUGUUUUUUUCUUUGGAUCGAAGUAAAUAAUAGGUGCUUCAUUUAUUUGUGCAGCAUACGACAACCCUAUUCAUUCCUAGCCUAUUUCUUAUCAGUCUAGGUUUGUCUUUUACCAUGCCUGUAAACAUACUGUACAACCACUACAAUUAAUGAUCUACAUAUAUAUAUAUAUAUAUAUAUAAUUGUUGUGCAGAGAUUAUUCACGUUACCAUGCUUCUGAGAUAUUUUGUGGCUUUAUCUGAGAUAAAAUUUCAAGUUUAUAAGUAGUUUCUGAAGUGGGGGGAAAAAAAAUCAAUGAUGUAAUAAAGAUGGGUUCAGCCGAGUAUAAUUUGGGUUUCGACUCUUAUUGUGCAUGUUUUGGUUGUAUAUUGUCGUGUAUCACUUGGUGAUAUAUACUUGUUACUUUGUAUCUCAUGAACAAUUUUAUUAUUACUCUUUUUUUUUUUUUUUUUUUUUUUUUUUUUUUUUCAAAAAAAAAAAAAUUUUGACCAAUUAAAAUCUUAUAAUAUAUAUAUAUAUAUAUAUUUAAAUGACUUGAAUUGUUUGAUUUUAAAAAAUAAUCUGCAAAGGGAACUGACUGGUUUCCCCUUUUUAAGGGCAUUCAAAAGGAUUCCCCGGGGGGGAGGGAUAAAAUGAUAGGUUCCAAAAAGGGGGGCCCAUGAACAUGACCAUGACCAUUUCAUUUCCUUUUCACCAAGGUCAGGGUUAAGGAUUUGAAACAUCUACUUGGACAAACAACGUCUUUUCUUCCACACAUAAAUAUAUAUAUAUUUUUUUUGCCUUUUACGAGGAAAAGGAAACACUGCCUUUAUUAAUUUUAUCAUCCAUCCCAUUCCAUACGAGUAUCCAUGGUAUUUCACAUUUCAAAUAUAUAUACAUGAGUGUUUGUGCGUGUGUAUGUAUCUAUACGUGUGUGUAUACCGUGAUCAUGUAUCUGAUAUGCGAUGAUGGCCCAUUCGUAGCUCAUCAAUAAUGCCCCCCCCCCCCCCUCUCUCUCGGUCGACAGAGUGCGAGGAAGAUGGUGAUGUAUGUGGUCCAAUUAAUCUUGUUUAAUAUCUUUAUACCAGUCUUUAUAAUUUGUACGUACUAUCAGAGUGGUUUAAUCAACUAGCUACCUGCAGCAGUUAAUUAGACGUGUAUACAUUCUGGUUCUUUCUCUGGUUCGUGAUCUAUGUAUGACACGCACAGAGAACUGUUAAUCAUUUGCCUAAUUAAGACACUCAUAAAUUUUUUGUGGGUUUUUUUUUUUUUUUUUUUGGGGGGUUUAUAAUAGAUAGAUUUAACAGGCUGAUAUAUGAGGGAAAAGUUCAACCUUAAUUUCCUUUACAGUACCGAUCAGUUCUAAGCUAAUCAGUAAUGGAUCACUGUUUUAACUUUUAUUUUUAUAUUACCCUACUUUACAUCUUAUAAUGUGGAGAUAUUUAUAUACGGUGUGUGUAUAGUACUGCCUGUAUUGUUCAUAAAUUAAAUAUUAUAUCGUACCCCCGUAGCUCUAGCCAGAUACUGUGCAAUGUAUCAAAAGCCAGCUUCCAAAGCUGGUCAAUUUUUGCUCUUGCAUAACCCUAGUCAUAUACUGUACAUAUAGCUACAUGAGCCUCCUAUAUAAACUGUAUACAACCAUUUUGAUGGAAAUUAGUAAAUGUAUACAUAUAUGCAUAAAUAAAUCAUGUACCGUAUUAUUUAUGGAAAUUUUCAUUAUUUUCUAAAAUAGAAACAAAAUAGAGAUAAGGGAUUGUGGAAUGAGACAAAUAACACUUAACUAUUUGAAUUUUUUUUUAAUUAAUAUUAAAUACUAAAUCUUUACAAGAUUAAUUUAAUAAUUUAUCUUGAAAAUAAAUAUAUACAAGGAAGUAUUAUUUCCCAUCAUAAUUAGGGUAUUAUUAGUGACACAAAUGAAGCAAAUUGACUGUACGUAUAUGUAUAUAGAUAUGCUUUAACGUAUUAAAGCUAAAAUUGAAUAAGAACAUUAUGAAAAUUAUUUACUAAUACAUUACUUAUAUAUAUAUAUAUAUAUAUAUGUAAAUAUUCAGUUGGAAAUUAAGGGAAAGAUUAGAUCGGGCAGAAAAAGGAAAUUCAGUAGCUUGCAACUUCAAAUCAAGUGAUUAGUACAAGUUUGAGACGACAAAUACACGGAUUGAGGAUGAAUACAUAAAGGAGAUUAAUCAUAAUAUGCUUAAUUAAAACACUAAUUUAAAGUCAAUGCUUUGAUAAUCUCUGCUCUUGGGACGUGUUUAGAAGUGCUCUUGAAAACACUCAUCACUUGAGCAAUGCAGCCCUUUGCAUGAGGUGCUUAUCAUGUGUCUGCACAAAAUCAAUUAAUAAUUGACCAGCAUCAGAAUCUUGAUUCAUCGUGCUUUACAAAUGCCUUUACUGUUAUACAGACACCUGAAAAUAUUUGUUACCUACGGUGGGGGCAAUUCUAAUAGAGGACGGGAAGCUUGAAAAUGGAGGAUGAGUUAAUCACUUUGAGAUUUCCAAGGAAGAAAAUGCAUAUCCACAAUGUAAAAGUUUCAGAUUCUAUCGGUAAAAAUACCAGAGAGGAAGAAAGAAGAGAAAUUAUGAACUUCGUCUGAGCAAUUAAUUAACAAGACUCAAUCAAAUGCACACUCAUAUUGGUAUAUACAAUCAUGGAAAGGAAAAUAUUAUGUCAGCCAAUUUGUUGAAGACUGAUUCAAAAGUUAUUCUUUAACGUUAUCCUAUAGACUUUGAGAAAUUUUAAAUUAGUACCAUCUCUGCUUAAAUUUUCUAGAGAGUUUUAAUUAUUAGUUAAAAGAUAAAACUAAUUGAUUAACAAUAUAUAUACCAGAGUGCAAGUACUUACACCAUCCGCCUUGGCUUGAUUGUUGGACUCUAGCAUCAGCCCGAAGUGAAUAUGAGGGAAGUGUGCCCACUAGCAAAUAUAAUUAGACAAGCAAUUAAUGAUUAUAACACUCAAAUAUAUACACGAGUUUGUCGAGUAGCUGUUUCAUUUAUGUAGCUACUUACAUUCUUUGCAGCAGUACUGAAUGCUUCCCUGUGGCUGAUAUCUGGGUUAUUGGCCUUGAUCCUCUGAAUCUCCUCUCUGUGACAUAUUUACCCCAUUGAUAUAUACAAGGUUAGUAUUUGCUAAAGCAUGAUACACACACACACAGAUAUUCAAAAUAUUAAAAGAAAAAAAAGAAGGGUGUUAGUACUUUAUGAACUGGUUAUAUGCAGAAGGUACUCGCUGCCUCUUCUCGGGAGCUGAAAGGAAAACAACAACACAUAAAUGCGCAAUGAAUUUUAUUCAAACGAUAUAAGCAAAUAAGCAGUCCGUGUGUGUGUGUAUAUAUAUAUAUAUACAUAUGUAAACAUAUAUGAUUGAUUCUCACGUCGGUUAACGACCCUUUCUUCAGCCGCUUUGUGGUUGGGCGGUGAUCUCAUUGACAUCUUGUUGCUGCAUUUGGAUGACGAACCCCACUCAUGAAUCCUGUACGGCUCUGGGGAGGCGUAUUUUGGUGCCUGAAAAAAACAUUUAAUCGGCCAUUGAUAUUAAGACUCGGCGUAAAUAUUUUAACUUCUACCAUCAUUGAUUCUUAUUAUUGUUUGUGUCAAAUUAAAAAAAGUAAGUUUGUUCUUGAAAAACCCAUAAGUCAGUCUUUGAUUCUUUGGUCGUUGCACUUUGUUUUACGAAUUGGAUACAUACAAGCUCUUCCCUCUUGGUAAUUAAAUUUUCUAAUUAAGUUUAUUUGACCAAAAAAAUUAAUUUUAACUCACUUUUCAGUCUGCAGAUUCGCCAUAAAUGGAUGAUUAAUAAAGGGGGGGAGAGAGAGAGAGAGAGAGAGAGAGAGAGAGAGAGAGAGGGAGAGAGAGAGAAACAUUUGUAGCUGAAAGAUUUGAAAUGAUUUUUUUGAUAACGAAUUAUUUAUAAAGGAAAAAAAGAAAAUUUAGUACUGAAGUGAUUGAAUCUGUUAGAAUUGCAGCACACAAAAAAGAAGAUAAUAUAAGGAGCAAAUAAAACCCAGAUAUGAACGUCUAAUUUUUUUUCUGAAAAAAAAAAUGCCCAGCUGCAAAUUACGAAAGAAGAUCUAAAAAAUUCACGAAAAAAAGAAAAAAGAAAAAAAAGAGGAGAGUUUGUUUGGCAAUGGCAAUGUCUCCCCGGUAAAGGACAAAAACUUGAAAAGAAAUCAUUAAAAACCUAUGAACCCUAACAUUCAUGUCAAUCAAAUCAAGGUUUGUAGUUAGCUAUAGCAGGUACAUAUAAUAUAUAAAUAUAUAUAUAUAUAUAAAAAUAGGUAGGAUUCCAAAAAACGGCUCAAGAAAAAGAAAGUGAAGCUUAGAAAAAAGACCUUAUUGGCGGAGCUGGCUCGGGCCUGUUGUGAUGGGUCAGGACAGGGGCCUGACGCCCGCGUACAACUGUGGCCGCAGAAGCCAACAGCUCUCUACACAAAAAGGAAAAAAGAAAGAAGAAGAAGAAGAAGAAGAAGAAGAAGAUGCAAAUAGGUUUCGGGUUAUGGCGGCUGCUAGAUCUUUGAAUCAGUACUACUGUGAACCAACAACUUCAUCAACAGAUGCUUUGCAAUUCUUGAUCUGUGCAAUUUAUGACUUGAAACUUUCGAUUUGAAUAUAUUUUCUCAAAAGAAGCAAGUAUAUUUAAGACUCAGAAAACCCUAGAUUUCAGAGGCUACUGGCCACCCUAGAAAUUAAGCUGUUCAUGCUUAUAUAUAUAUGUGUGUGUGUCUACAUAUUUGCUUGACAAUAAUAUUACCUGAACAUCUUGCCAUGACAGUGACUGAAACGCAGCUGCCAUGUUCACGGACCAUAGAUUGGUGCAGUGCCCGCAUCGGACGGUCACAAUGUCAAAUAGGCUGCUGCAUGGAACACUCACCUGCACAGCACAACACAACACAAGAUUAAUCAAUUAUUAACCCUUGAAAUCUCCAGUCUUCAUUCACAAACCUUUUUUAAAAAAUUAUGGACAUAUAUAUAUGGAUGAAAAAAAAUCCAACAUCAAGAAGAAAAGACCCAAAAAUAAAGAGGAACCCAGAUCAGAAAUGAUUCAGAGAAUUAAUUUUUGCUAGCCAUUAAUGAUCUUUCUACUUUUUCAUACACACUGCACGCUCACACGCACACAUAAAAUACAAACGCAUAAUGAAGAAGAAAAAAGAAAUUAUGAGAUGGGUUCUGUUCGGUUUUUUAUUCUGAGUUGGGAUGCAUUUAGGGAAAAAACUAAGUUAAAGAGAUCUAUCAUUUUCUUUUCCCUCAGCUAAAGAAAGCUCAGUUUUUGCAUAUAUAGAGUGUUCAGUGUGCAGUAGCAGUGUUUUUGGCAAGGGGAAAGGUAAGAGUAGCAUAAGAGUUGUCUUGAUCAGAGAUCAUAUCAGGAAAUAUGGCUUGUUUGGACGUUAAAAAACAGUCUCCUGCGUACCAAAAGAAAAAAACUCUCUCCUGGUCUUAACCACAUGAGGCUUCAGUAUUAUGACUUUGCUUUGACUACAAAAGAAGAGAAGAGAGAAAAAGAAAGUCUCAACGACUGAGACCUGACUCUAUGCCAAAAACAACCAACACCCAAAAGGAAUUUCAACGGACUGCAGUGAAAACAAUAAGACGAGAACCCGAUCGCGCACAAGCAAGGAGAGACUCAACUUUUUUUCAGGAUCUGAAAAAUGUUAAUAUAUGUAUAUAUUCAGGAAAAAAAAGAAAGAAAGAGGAAAUCUGAAUUUAUUAUUGUUAAUAUAUGAAAGUGGGCACUGAGAAAAGCAGAUCCCAGUAAAGAAUUAAGAGUUCUCAGACGAGAUACCGCAAGAACUAUGUUGCAAAAGUUGCAAGGGAUGUAGCAGAGUUGCUCAGGUGCAACAUCGAUGCAGCUCGACAUCUCUCUUUCAAGCAAAUUGAACUUAACCCAACGAGAACCAAAACCAGAAGAAGAGAGCAAGCUCUUGAAAAUUGUGAAAGCCACACAGAAGGUUAUGGAGAAAGCAAAGCAACGCUAGCUAAGAGAUAUAUAAAUAAGUAAUUAGGGAAAAAGAAAAAAAUGAAGAAAGAUUUUGUGCUUUUUCUUUGUAUACUCGUAUUGCUUUGAAACUCGGCUAUGUAUCACAACAGUAAAACUGAAUGUCUUUUAUAUAUGGAAACUUAUAAAGGGAGAGAGAGAAAUGAAGAGGAUCCAAAGAGGGUAAUGAGAGAGAGAGAGUUAUUUUUCUGAUGAAUUUGUUUAGCUAUAUAUAAAGAAAAAAAAAAAAGAAAAGAAAUGGGUAUAGUAAAUUUAGUAGUGGCCAUGGGAGGCAGCAAAUGCUGGGACCAGGAAGAGGGGAAAAGGAAAGGAAUUUGUUUGACGAAAAACCGGGUUUAGUUGGGGAGGAAAAGCGGUUCAGCUAGGUGAGGGAUUAGGGUUCUGAGGGAGAAGAAAAGGCUUUUUUGAGUUUUGGCUGCACUAUAAAACCUGUCCAUAUUAUGUUAUAGCUCUUAUCUCAUCAAACGACUGUGACCACUGAUUUUCUCUCCCUCUCUCUACUCUGCGUUGCUACAGCGGACGAGGGGGGCGAAAUUUUCUAUUUCUUAUAAUUUAUAUAUUACCCACAUCACCAAUAUUUUAUUACAUAUUUGAAUUUAUUUAUAUCUUUUUUCAGUGUAGCAUAAAUCACGAGUAUUAGUUAUAAAUAAAUAAAAAAUUACACUCUAUUUAAAUAGUAAUAAAUUAUAUAAUUUUAAUGUAUGUUAUUCUAUAAAUGUGAGAAAAUUAUAUUUAUUUCAACUUUCAAUUGUAAUAAACGGUAUUUGACAGAAAAAUUUAUAAUGAAUUUUAAAACUACCGAAUCGGCGAUAUAUAAAUGAUAUGUUAAUUUUUUUUCCUUUAUAUCACAAUUUAUUAUUUAUUUUAUUGAAUAUACAAAUUUAAUUUGUAAUAAUUAUUUAUUUAAAUACAAAUAUAAUUAUAUUGGUAAACGAUUUAAUUUUUUUAUCAUAUAUUUCUUAUAUAAUACUUACUAUUACAUAAAUAUGUAGGAAUAAAUUAGUAAUUUGACUGAAAAUAUAACCAUAUCAUCCUAAUAAAAAUAUACUAUUAACAUACAUUGAUAUACAAUCAUCCAAAUAUAAAAAAAAUUUGUCAUCCACAUCCUAUAUCAUUAUCAUUUGAUUACUGCAAUUAAUAUAUAUUAAUUAAGCAUCACUAAAAUUUAUCCAAAUAAGGUGUUAAUAUAUACCAACAAGAACAACUACUACUUAGCUACUACAAUUUGAAUGUCAAUUAUUAUAGUUUUAAUUUCCCUAAAUCUUUUUUCUUUAUUUAAUUAUUUUAAAUUUUAAAUUAUUUCAUCUUUUAAUUAAAUAUUGAAUUACUAAUACUAUUAAAUUACUAUUAUAUUACAUAUUCAUUUUUUUAAUAUUUAUUAUAAAUAAUAGAAAUAAUUUCAUUGACAUAAUUUUUGUGUCUUUAAUUUUUUUAAAAAUGCACGAGUGAAAGACUCCAACACAACAUAUAUUACAUAGUUGAUGCAUUAGUACAAGAUUGAAUUUUUUUAUUAGUUUUUUCUUCUACAAGAGUCUAUAAGUAGAAAGGUUUGCUUAAAAUUGUAUUAUAGGUUAAUCAUAUAUUCUAUUUUAAACUUAUAUUUUUUAUUUAAUAUUUUAGUGUAUAAGCUCUUUAUUUGUGCUGAUAUUACUUUAGUGUCUUCUUAAAACAAUUUAGUAACUUAAGACUUAUUUUUUUUAAAUCCCUAUCAAGUACUAAAAGUAUGAUGAUAAAAUGGUAAACUAAUAAAGACAUCCCUCAAAUAGAAUUCAUUAUUGAGGUUACUGUCGAUAUUUAAUGUGUGGAGUCAUUUUUUUAUGCUUGCAAAUAUGAUAAUCAUUUACAAGAUUUUAUAGGUGAUUGUAAAGUAAAGGGCAUAAAUAUUGUGCAAGCUCUAUAUAUAAUCAUACUUAAAAAUUUAUUAGAAAUUUAUUCACAAUCAAUUCAACAAAAUUAUAGUAGUAAAAUAAAAUAGAUAAUACAACAAAGAUAUGUAUGUCAAGUUAGUAGGUAAUGUCUAAAAGUAAAAGAUGUUAAGGCACAUACCAAUUACAUAAAGUUAAAAAGACCUUUCUUAUUUAGAAAGACAUGAGGAUUUUUGUAAAAAUUUAUAUGAUACUAUAAAAUUGUUUAUACACCACUAAUAUCACACAAAAACAAAGACCUAAAAGUCACUUGAUACACGACACAUCAAUUGAAACUCACAAGGGACCAUUAAAACAUACCCUUAUUUGGUUUAACCUUUAAUCUUCGGUAUAAUCCUGUGAGGUAUGUUACCAUUCAUCUUUCCAAUUGUAUUAGCUACAAUCGUACCUUUAUCAUUUCAUCAUUAUAAAAAUACAUAGAUAAAAUGUGAUUUAGAUUUAGCCUCUUCUAAACUGAAGAUAUUUCAUGUUUGACUGUCUAGAUUAUUAUUAUGAAUUUUACCACACCAUUUCUUUAAUGUGAUUACUUUUCUCUCUUUAAGGACACAUGUGUGGUCUUUAUUGGAACAAAUAGUUAUACUCUCAAUCACCUCAUGCUAUCCUAAAGUUGCUUUCAUAUAGUUUUAUGGAACUAGGUUGUGAUAUGUCAAUUCUAUCAAUCAUGUAGACCUAUUUCAGGUUAGAUUCUCAUCAAAAUUUUCAUUAUGUAUCCUAUAAUUUUAUAAUCUGUUUGAAACUAAAUUGUCUUAUGUUAUGUUUAGAAGAUGUUGAAGGAGGUAGUCCAAAUAUAUUUGAGCUUUAAAGUCAAGUUCUAGGUUGUCCUUGCUUUAUAUUUCUUUUGUGUUGGGGCCGAGUUACAAAUAUAUACACUUUUUUUGUAAGUUUAGCUUUGAAUGAAUUGGUUCAAUAACUAAGAUUCAUUUCAAUGGUGUUUGUGUACCUAUUAUUCUUGUAAUUAAAGAUAUUUUAUCUUUUCAAACAAAAUAACAAUCACUUUAAUCGUGAAAAAAGAAAAUCCAUAAAAAAUGUGUGCAAUAGAGAUUAGGAGAUUGGCAAUCAAUACGUAGAAACUUAUGAGAACACAACUGAAGCCAAAAAAGGAUAAAGCUAAUAAAAGAGUUGAAUUAGCUAAACUGAAGUAGAAAAAGUUUCAGAGGAAAGAGGUACGAAAGUUAAAUAAAAUUUUAGCUUUUUAUUAAUGAUUGUACAUUAGUUUGCUAUUGUUGUUGAUUAUAUUUGAGGUUCGACAAAUAUGAAAAAUUGAAGUGAUUCCGGAUUAUAUUAAUUUACAAUGACAUAAUAUAUCAAUAUAAUAUAUAUAUAUAUAUAUAUAAGUGCACUUUCUUUUUGGAAAAAAAAAAUUUAUCACCUAGACUUUAUUAAUGAAAACAACUUAACAACAUUUUGAACAAAGGUUGUUUAUUCGUGAUCUAUCUAUAAAUAUGUGAAUGAUGAAGACCUUUCUUUUACAAAUUAAAUGUCUUGACUAGUAGCACAUGGCCAAUCUUGCGUACGAGCGAAGAUUAUUUGGUAUGUACGUACGUAUGUGUAUAUAUAUAUAUAUAUAUAUAUACAUGUUGUGUACAGUGGCUGCUCCAUACUUUCUUCUUCGUUGGUACUAAAUUCAGUCCCCUAGCCUAAUUUUGUGUGUGUGUGAAUGUAUUAAAUUUUUGUCUUUAAUAAAUUCUAUCUUUUUCCUUCAUAUACACAUAUAUAUAAUGUAAAUAUUCUUGGUACAUAUUUAUAUAUUGACUCGUAAAAAUUGAUUCAGAUUGAGGGAGAGAAAAUAUAUGCAUUAUAUAUAUAUAUAUGUAUGUAUAUAGGAGAAGGCGAUUAAUUAGUAUUGCGACUAGACAGAGCAACACACAAAAUUGACUGCAGUAUAUAUAUAUAUAUAUAUAUAUAAUAAAUAUUAAUUAUCAAUUAAUGAAACAAAGUAAAGUUAAGAAAAAGAUUGAAAUAUUAAUUAGCGAGGGGAACAGGAGGAAUUUAACAUGACCCAACUUAAAGAAUACGAAGAAAUAAUAUGAUUCCGCCAGGAGCCAGGUGUAAAGAGGAAGGAAAAGUAUGCUUCAUCUUCUACGUACUUAUAUAUAUAAUGAAUAUGAGUUUUUUUUUUAUAUAAUUUUCAUUUUUCACUUCAGUUAAUAAUAAUUGUUUGGAUUUAUACAAAAAUAAAUAACGAGGCGGAUAUAUAUAUAUAUAUAUACACAUAUAUAGCUAUAAAAAGCAUAAGUAAAAAGGAUUUCUGCUUCUGUGGAAGGAAGGGAGCUAUAAACUACAAGUAACUUAUUUAGGAAGACGACAAAGUCCAAUAAAAGCAUAUUGAUUGUAAGAGACAUGAGAGAAAAUGAUAAACCAGGAAAUUAUUAGGAUCUCAUCUUUGUCCAUCGACUUUCCCCAACUUGAUAUGGGGUCUGUGCACUCCCGUUAGGCUCCCGUCUCUUUCCAUGUCUACUAUAAUUAAUAUACUAUAUAUUUAUAUAUCCACCAUAAAAAAGUAAUAUUUGUUUAUCUUUAUAUUUAUAGCUGUACUUAUUUUUCAUCCACCAUUCUUCAGAAUGUGUAAAAUUUAAAAAGAAAAACAUAGAGACCGUGUUAUGUUCCCUUGUCAUACAUAUACAUGUGUGUGUGUGUGUCUGUGUGUCUCUGUGUGUGUGUAUGCGUAUUGUAUAUUAUAGGAGGAAGUGAGAAAGAUACAUGAGAGCUUCUCUUUCCCCUGAAUCCAGGGAACCAUGAGUUGCCAUUUGUAUAGCUCCAUUUUUGCUAAAAAGAAGGUAUUUUGUCAGUAUAUAAAUCCAAAUUGUUUGUAUGAUCUUUAUAAUAGUUAGUAAAAGACACUGUCAUAUUUAUCAGCAUGAUCUUGGAAAUAAACUUUUUGAGGGUACAAAAAGAACUAUAAAUUCUUUAAAUUUCUAUGUCAAAAUUAAGAAUAAGUUCUUUCGUAGUAGUGUGCUUAAAUUAUUCUUUCCAAAACAAAAAAAGUGAAUGCAUAUAAUUAGCUUCAUUGCUUGCAAAAAAAGCAAUAUUUUAUUCAAAACAGUGUACUGCUAGUUGCUACACAACUUCAUUUUCUUCCGUUUUAUUAUUUAUCAGCAAAAGCAACAGGUAAAAUUUUGAAGACUCCACUUACUCUGCCAAACAUCAUCUCCUCUCAUCAAGUCUAAUUAUAUAUACGAGUCGCUAUAUCUAAUUAAACAACAAGGUGGUGAGCGGUGAUAGCUUUGCUCCCACUGCAUGGUUAAUGGAGGUGGGGGAUGAUAAUACAAACAAGUGUAUAUGUAUCCAUGAUAGUUGAAAAAGGAAGAAUGGCAUGUCCAGUCAUGUGAUUGUUCUGUGGUGAAUUAAGAAAAAGUCGCGGUUGCAUAUUGGAACAAGUAGUCAUCCUGCGUCUUCCAAUUCUUUCGUUAAAAUUUUUGGUAAGGUUAAUAAUCAAAUUUCCAGCUCUCAAUAUAUGUUCAUUAUUCCUAUAUACAACUGGCUUACACUCACAUGCUUCAAUACAUGGAUAUAUUUCUCUUUUGCUUUUCCGGGUAUCUAUUCUUUUCGCAUGAUACUUUUUGUUAUGUUUCAUUUUGCAUAAACAUAUAUUAAAAUCCAUAAUUAUUUCAUUUUGCAGGAAGAGAUACAUGCAACGACACAUAUCUUUUAUGAGAAACCAUAUUGCACGGAGAGGUAAACACAGCCAAAGUAAGACAUCUAUGGAGUUUUGGUAUGAGAGCUGAGUAAUCUGUAUUUAGUUCGAAUAUCCUAUAUACAUACAUGCUGCUGCAAUUAAAACAGAUUUUGACUUGGGGGUUAUGUAACAAAUUAAGCAAAAUAAAAAUACAAACUUUAUCACCUUAAAAUGAACCUGUAUAUACUCGGUCUGUUUUGAUUUCAUGUCAAAUUGGGUAUGCAAAUAUUUUGAUAAAAACAACUAAAACUAUCAAUUUGGGGGCAGCCACACAUGUGGGUUUCUAACUUAAUCAUCCAGGACCACGACGUCAACCAUUACACCAUUCUAGGAACUCUACAAUUUUUUAAAAGCAAGCCUGGUUUUUCUUUUUCAAUGAAAAGUAAAUCUUUUGUAGAUAUAUUUGAGAUGGUCCCCUAACAUUUUUUGCUUUAUAAUCCAAGCCAAUAAGUAGAGAUAUUUCAGUUUUCACAACUGGGUUUACUCCCCGACAAAUUUGCAUUUUAAUUGUUAAAUAGGAUUUAGAUGAUGUCCAGCCCCAAUAAGUUUUGGCCCAUAACUCGCUCCGCCUCGUGCCAAAGCUGGAUCGGCGACUGAUCUCCAGUCCAAGCCUAAGUUCAUCGGCAGCCAGCCCACGCCGGCCUGUUUCUUCGACCGAAACUGCACGCAUUGUCCGUCGACACACUAAUCAACGACGAAGAUAUUUCCAACCGUUGCAGAGACGAGAUACGUGUAUGCUCGAAAGUCGUCUUCUUCUUUUUUUUUCCCCCCUUCCUGUCCUCUAAACAUUUCUUCAAGUUACUUUGCUAAACAGGACAUCCAUGUUGACAUCCGGUAUGUCCGAUAUGCAUUUACCAAUUAGCAUAUAGAUGAAGAUAAGAGACCAUACGAGAUGAGUAAGUACUGUCUUUUUGUCGGUAUACGUGUAUAAUCCAGUGUGUGUGUAUGCUGUACGUCUAACUCUCAAUAACUCUUUUGUACGGAAUGUUGUAGGUGAAAUGGCGACUUCGGUGGAUAAGGAGAAACAAAUCGAGACUGUGGAAAGGGAUAUUGUCUGCUUUGAACUUCCCGCUCCUUCUGGUUGGAGCAAGAAGGUUUUCCUCUUUUCCUCUCCCCUUCUAUCUCUCUCAAUUGUCUUUGCUUCGAAAGCAAUUGACUCUGUCAUGUAAUGUCUGAAUGAUUGUUGUUUCUGUGCUCUGAAUUCAAUUAUUACUUGUGUAAAUUACAUGUAGGUUUAUUUAAUUUGGAGGAAAUUGGUGCGAAAUUGAUGAGCUUAAGUUGGGAUUUCUUACUUUGUAACUUGCAAGUUAUAAAGUCUGCUCAUUUUUUUAUCUUCUGAUUUCUGUUUGAAGUACUUGAUACUCCUUUUUUAAUUUAGGCAUGGAGGUUCAAUUACCCCCCAGAAUUUGUUCUAUUUCUUCAUGUUUGUGGACGGAAGCCUUUCUUUUCCAAACAGGAGUUUGAAAUGGAAAUAGAUGAAGGCGGGAUUCUGUAACGUUCAGAUGUUUUUACUGCGUCUGUUUUUCCAAUUUUGGAAAAUAAAAAAUGUUAGUUUUGAUUAAAAUAAUUAUCAUUUCCUGGUUUUUACUAAUUGGAAUGUGAAUUGUGUUCAGAAAUAUUUCAUGUUCAUAUUUUGGAUUCUAAAUUUUGCUGCAAGAAGUUGUCAUUUACUGUGGGAUUCCUGUUGUGCGAAUUUGCCUCUUAAUGGUGUAACUGUUGUUGCUAUUAUCUACUUAUUCGGAAGGAGAAAGAUUGUGGGACUUAACUGGUGCCAUAACCAGGGAAAUAACAACUUCAUAAUGAACUUUGUUUGACUUAAAAAUUAUAUAUGUUGUAUUAAUUAGUUACAUAUAUGGAUUAAGUAUCCUAGGAUAAUGAGUAUGUGCUGACAUGAUAUUUCUUUCACUUUAGUGUACUCAUUAAUUAACCGAUGAAUUUUGUUUGUCCUUUUCAAUUUUUUUCUUCCACUAAUAGCAAAAGAUGAAAAUGAUGUAUGAUUAUACCUGUCAUACAGAAUAACCUUUCGAAGCACUGUCCUAUUGCAAAAAUUAUUAUGAUUAUGCUUUUGUUGCUGAGAUAAUGAAUAAUGUGAUUGGGAUUUGCUCAUGUUGCUUAGUGAGAUUUUCUGUUUAUUUCUAGUGAUCACUCUAGAAGCUACAAAACCAUUAGGUUGCUUUCUCUUAUGUGAAACUUGCACCUCCAUUACUUUGAUCAAGGUACAUAUAGGUCAAUCAGGAACAUCAAUUGUGGCACGCACAGCAGAAGCACUUCCUUAUUGGCAAUAUUGAUGAAAACAUACAAAAUUUUCUCUUUAUGAGUUGGCAACUGAAAAGUUGGAAAUGGCCAUGUCUUAAGUUAUGUGGUACUAAUAAAUGGCUUCCGAUGAUAGCUAGCAUGUGCACUGCUAAAUAUUGACACUUCAGAGUUGCUCCCGAUGCUAGCUUCAUGGGUUCACCAAUGGGCUGUGAUGUUUGUUUGUCUAGGAUGUUGUUGAGCUGCAGUUUAUUAUUUGAGGUUGUGACAUGUCAAAAUAAUCAAAGUAACUCUAGAUACGAGCUUUUCAAUUGAAUUCUUGAUUUAUCUGAUUUGGAAUAAAUUUUUGAGAUUUGCAGUCUCCACUGAGCAGAAAAAGAUAUUAUCACAAAGUGAUCAAUUGUAGUCGUCAUUGCCAAGUAUUGACAUUGAUGAACUGGUCAAGGUAUUAGCUUAGUUGAUUAAUGAGUGAAACUUUUCUUUUAGGUUGCCGAGCAUGGCUUUGAACUGCUAGUUGGGAUGCAAAUAAGUCUAUUAGAUGUAAGCUUUUUCACAAGACUGAGUCACCAUGGUUUCUUCUGUUUAGAGCAGGAUCCUUAGGAGGUGCUGGCUCUGCAAUAUAAUUUUUUUUGUCUCCAAUUUCUAUAGGUGCAAUUGUUUUUUGGAAAAACUUGAGAAGUUUGUGGUUUGGGUAUUCGGUGUUCAGAAGCAUCUUACUUGUGUAAUAUUGGUUUAUUAAAGAAAGUUCAGACCCGAUGCAAUUUUUUCCUUUCAGAAAACAAGGAAAUGAAUGUACCCACGAUCAGUUUGAUCUUAAUUAGUAACUUGGUUUAUUGACUGUGCAUCUGUCUGCAUAAGUUAGGACCUGAUGCAAUUUUUUCCUUUCAGAAAAGAAGGAAAUAAAUGCACCCACAGUCAUUUUGAUCUUAAUAAGUAACUUGGUAUUCUAAUUUCAUUCCUAUUUAUUGACUGUCCAUCUGUCUGCAUAAUAUCAAUAAAGAGGCUCGAUCACCAAAAUCAUUUGGUCUCCUGUUAACCAAAGGUUAUUAGCAACUAGGGAUGAGUCAAAGUGCUAGUCUGUUCGAGUUCAUCACACAACUUAAUGUGAGGUUGGGUGUUCAAUUCUACAAGAAAAAAAGUGACUAGUGUUAACAUAAGAUAUUAUGUGCUCAUUUAUUUGGAGUUAGUUAGCCAAAGGCGCAUAAAACAGUUGAGGCCGUUUUAAUCCUGCUUCUAAUAAGCCAAUGGUUAAUCGUUGAGAAAGUGGAGUUUUAUGCAUUUUGAGACAGAGCUUUACAUCAGAUGCUUGUACAAGUUAUGCUUGCAUAACUGGAGAAAUUUUUUCAGGUUCAAAAUAGUUACAAUUUAGAAAUUUCUUUCAUUGAUAUUAUAUAUAUAUAUAUAAGCUAAUGAGAUGAGAUUCAAAGUUAGAGCAUAGUUACCAGGACUAUUAAACCACCUCCCCUUGGGGGAUGUACUGAAUUUUUUGAACUAGUUCGUAGUACGGGUUCACUGUAGUUCAUUCUGAUUCUCAAUUAGGAUCUCUGAAGUUAGGGACCCAGAAUUAAGAAGAAAUAGGGGCAAGUUGGUAGAGUCUAAAGAUAGUGAGAGAACAAAAUUAUGGAAAGAGAGAGUGAAAAGUAUAUAUUGUAACAAACUUUCUUUCAAAUUUGAGAUUAGUAGGAGCCAAAUAAACAAUGUUUUCUUUCUUACAACUCAAUAAAAUAUAUUGAUGAUCAAUGUUAAAAACCCACAUAAUGUUAACUAGGUUCUUUAGGAAUUUGUAAAGUUCUUGUAGUUAUGAAAAGGAUUUGAACCCUAAAUUUCUUCUCAUGGAAAAAGAACAAGAACCAAUAGAGUAUAAUGUACUAUCACACUGUUACUUAUGAUCCUAGUGACGAACUUAAUAAGUGGUUUAUUGGAACUUUGCAUCAAAAUAAUGUACUAUAUAAGGCUGUCCCCCUUCAAAUCUAAAUUUAGCAUCUAUCAUAUUUUGUGCAUCUACCCCAUACCACGAUCCAAAUGUGCAAGUUUUAAGUACCUAUGAGUUACAGCUUUCCAAGAUAUUGCUUCACCUUUGUACUUGUUUAGGUACUCACAUUCAAAAGUAAACUUAGAGGGCAUAGUGUCAUGCGUGAAUAAAAUGGUAAAAGGGUUUCUAAAUUUCCAUUUUGAUGGUUAGAGGUUAUGGGAAAGAAAACUGAAUUUAGUGGCACAUCUUAUGGAGCAAUUUUUGCCAUUUUGGGCCAGACCUCAGCUAUUGUUGCCUGUAGGACAAUAGAAUCUCUUUGUUAGCUUUUGUUAUAAAGACAAUGUCAAAUGAGGAGAUUAGAAUUUUUCUCAUUGGUUGGUAUUUCUACUUUUAUCACUGACUCUUAUUGUCAACAAUAGAGACAGACUUAUGAAUGUAACAAAAAUGCAGAUAUAUAAGUCAUGCAUUUUCAGCCUGUUUAUGCAUCCAUAUGUCGGAACUGUAUUGGAUCAACAGAUUUUAUCAUUUAUUUCAUCUCUAACAGGUAGAUCAUUUCAUAUAUGUCUCCUAAAAACACUUGCAAUACUCUGUUUUCCAGAUAUUAGGAGUCAACAACAUCUACUAUGUGAUUGCCACGUUUACUGCUUUUGGCCGUAAGUCUUUUGGCCUUGUCAUUCAUCUCUAUGCACUACUUCAGAAAAUCUAUCUUUUGGCCUUGUCAUUCAUCUCUAUGCACUACUUCAGAAAAUCUAUCUUUUGGCCUUGUUAUUUUUCCUUCUCUUCUUUCUACUCACUUUUUUGUUUUUUAUUUUUGAUGAUUUUCUUAUCAUAUAUGUGGUUAGUAUAAUUGACAACUGGAAGAAGCUAAACAAGAAGGACUCUAAGAUGUAUUUGGUGUCUAUCUGUAAAACAAUUUUCUUAGCAUUUCAACGUAGGUAUGUCUAUUUAAUAGAAAGUUGUUGACUCUGAAUAAGAUCUCUUAGUCUUUUCCCCUUAUUUCUAUUUCUGCUGUUCUUCUGCCCUUUCCAUUCUUGCCCUUACUCAUCCCCUAAUUCUAUUUCUCUUUUAUCUCUAUCUUUAUUUUACCUCUUUUUUUUCCCAACACAAUCAUCAAGUUCCAAUUUAAUUUGUUAACUCAAAGUUAUCAUUGGAAGAAAUUUAUAAAUUACUAAUUUAUGACAUACACAAAGAUCAAAUACUUAAGCAAGUAUUCAGUGUAUGUCUUUGGCUUUUCAACUAUCAGACUCCUUGAUUUCUGUUAAUUGAUUGGUUCACUAUGUACUCAUUCUCUGUUACUUUGCAGUUUAUGCCAAAGAAGAGUGGGAUCUUCAAGAAAAAUGAAGUCGUCUUUAUUUCUCCUACUGGAGAGGAAAUACAUAACAGAAAGCAGCUGGAGAAGUACAUCAAAGCCACUCCUGGCAGUCCAGCAUUAUCAGAGUUUGAUUGGGGCACUGGUCAGACCCCAAGGAGAUCAGUGAGGAUUAGUGAGAAGGUAAGGGCAGCACCCGCCCCAGAAAGUGAACCAGCAAAAAAACGAAGCAGAAAAUCAUCAGCUACAAAGAAGGAUAAGGAAGACACAGAAGUUAGCCCUAAAGGAGCUGAGGAAACCAAAGAAGUUGAGAUAGAAGGUACAGAAAAUCUUUUAGAGGAUAAUCUUGAUGUUGGGAAUAAGGAUUUGAAGGAUAAGGAAGAUGAGAAUAAAACGCAGGAUGCCACAAUGGAAGCUGCUGCUCCUGAAGAAGCCAAACUUGGAGAAAGCAUUGGCACAUCUAAUUUCAAAGCAGGCAAGGAACAUGUUGAAACAGAAACUGAAAUGUCAAAUCUCAAGGAGAUUGAAGGUGAUUGCUCUAGUGAGAAGGAAAAGAAGGACAAGGAGAUUGCAGAAGCCAAAGAAAAUGCUAACCUGCCACAUAUUGAGGCUGAGAAAAAGACGGAUUCUGGGGAAAAGAAGAAUAAACUUGAAGAAGAUAAAGAGAAUACAAUGUGAUAGCUCCCUAACCUGAGGAAGAAAUUAAGAAGGAAUCAGAAAGCGACAAAUAUUAAGAGAACACCAGUGCAGAUCUCAUAUGGAGUAGCAGGUUCGGAGAUGAGGUAAUUGUGAAUUGCAGAAGUUGUGGCAACACUGACGGAGUCAAGCCUUGAGGGGUUAACAACAUAGAUUAACUUGAUUUAGGUACCAUGUUGCCCAGGUUAUGCCUUUCAGAUUUAAAGUUCCUCAAAAACUGAUGUAGUUUGAUGUUUUCAUCACAGCAGUCUGAUUAUUUAUUGAGACAUUUGUCUAUACAUAGGUAGGUGCCAAAUGUAAUUAUGUUUCUGUUGUAGUGAAGAUACUUUGUAGCUUGCUCGAGUCUGUAACAACAUGAUGUCAUACUGUAGAAAGUGAUGUUGUGCAGUAAUAUAAUAAGCUAGAUUCAAUUGCCUAUUCAUUUUUAUUCCAAGUAAUUUUGUCCCGUCUGAGUCUUGGCAAUUGACCAUCACAGGUUCCAGAUGAGCUUCGGUUUAAAGGAGAAAAAAGAAGCAUAUGAUGCUGCAAAUAUCGGAGUCAUGCUAGAUAAAAACCCGAUAGAAAUAAAUAAAAUGAGAAAAAGAUUAGGAAACUUUUAUAAACCUUCGAAGCUCAAAACUAUUUGAGCAAGGUGUUACAACUAAAGAACAGCUUGUCAGUCUUGAAUAUGAGUGACUCCUGGGAAAAUGGAAGAAAGCUAAAGAAAACGAAAACUGUAAAAUUUCCCUCCCAAUGCUAAAAGAAUGUGAAUGGUAAACCACCAAAUGUUCUUUUUAUUUUUUUUCUUUUGUCCUUUUAAAGGCCCUUCAGCUGUUCUACCAGCCCUGUCAAGGUUGUCCACUUCUCAAAUGCACUGGCCGAUGACACAAAAUGAACUUUGGAGGAUUCAAUGUCGUUUUGAGACACUGCAAAAGAACAAGGAAGAAAAAAAACAUACUCAACCCAUGCAGUGCAACAAAGAACACAACUAAACUAUAUACUCACACCACAGACAUUCAAACUUUUUGCAUGCAGCAUAGGUCCUCCAAAUAUGGUAUUUUUAGCUAUAAAAUAAUAGAGUUCGGUGAUUGAUUGUUCCAAGAUUGAACCUGUCAGGAAAUUUCUCAAUUUAUUGUUUUACAAGAUAUUCUCAGUAUGUGUAUGUUCCUUGUAUGCAAAUGUAAGUUUAAGUUCUAUAAUCAUUCUAUGGGUAAAACAUGGAUUCAAACAUAAAAAGGAAAAGAGAAGUGUAACCACAUGGAGAUCGACAUAUUUUAUUCAGUGCAAGUGCUAACAUGUCAACUCAAGAAAGACCGGUGGACUAGUUACUGGCUGUCCAAUGUGUUAGCAAGAGGGUGAAUCCAGCAAUUAUCUCCUGUUAUGGUGUAUAAAAAUUGGAAGGUAACGGUUUUAUCUUUAUCUGUUCUUGAUAUGUCCAGGGUGAUAAGUGGCUCGAUUGCUAAUGAAUCAUUGGCACGGGAUGGCUAUCAUGUGGGUCAUUUAGAAGGAAACUAAUAGGAGGAUAUUGAUGGCAUUAUAUCUUUUUUUGCAAGAGAUAAAUGGUCCGGAUAUUAAGUAUUUUAUUUAAAGGUGAGCCUCUGUUUUUCUUUGAGCAUUUAGAAAACCUCAUAGAACUUUGUUUCCUUGGCUUCUGUGUAGGUUUUCUACUUAGGUGAUGCCAUCUUAGUGCCCUAUUAAUAUAAGUGACUCUUUCUUUCCUAAAAAAUGUCGGGUAAAACCCAGCAAAUAGACAACAUAUGCAACUGUCCAAGGCAAAAGAUUACAAUCAUAGAUAAUGAUCAAAGCAGGUAAAACCCAGCAAAUAGACAACAUAUGCAACUGUCCAAGGCAAAAGAUUACAAUCAUAGAUAAUGAUCAAAGCAGAAAAAUCGGCAACUAGUGUAAGGCAAAACCUCAUUCAGAUUAGGUGAUGUAAACUAACUAACCUGAUGAGAUCAAUGAAGCCAGUGAAGAAUUGAAUGUUUCCACUUCAGUCUUCUCUUCAGGACUGGAGCUCAACUGCCAAGAUGACAUUGGAAAAAAAACCACUCAAAACCAUGCAGAAUAUAAUUUGUGAUUAUAGAAGAGCAAAAAUGUUAUUCAUCAAGAAAAUCCCUCAUUGAAGGAAUAAAAAAAGCAUACGUACGCAUUGAUGAAAAAAUAAUGUUAGCAUGCCAGAUCUUAAUGGGAAAGAAAAGCAAAGAUCCACAUUGCUUAAGUCAUUUUAUUAUUAUGAAAAUUUUCACUGUAUUAAUCUGCACAUAAUUGUGAGUAAACACAAUACUAUAUCAUUAUGACCUUAGUGAAGGCUACAUUUGCUUUCUUGACCCAAUCUGUACCAGUGCUCCCUCCAAGGACUGAACUGGCUGUAGAAAGAUCAUCGUUUUCAAUGGCUUGACCUAUUUUGCUUAACUUGUACACUAGAUCCUGCAGAUAUCCUGGAAACAAAACAUUUCACUUUUAUAAGGGUGGAUCAUGUCGUUACAGGUAAAUCAUAACCAUCAAAAGAAUUUGUAACGAUGUGUUUGGAAUUAAUACGAUAUGAUAAGUGAAUAGAUGGAAUUGAUUUGCUUCUAGUUGUUGCAGAAAUGACAACAGUAAUUAAUCGCAUAAGGUAACUAUAUACUAUGAUCGACUGUCAUCACUCAAUUCUGCAACAAAGUCACUCUCUAGAACCUGGAUACAAGGUGGUGAGUACUAGAGAUGGCAUUGAGCACUAUGAUACCCCUGAUUCGCACUGAUAAAAUAACACCAUCUAAUAGUGAUAAUGAAAAUUAAUUUAGAGAAAAAGCUAUUCUGACAUAUUAGUUGUUAGUAGGCAGGCAUUUUAUUUGAUGCAAAGUUACCGAAAGAAAAAAUCUGUUUAUGACACAAUCCCAAUCUGUUUGACGCAAGAACUGGCCAUUGAAAAUUAAAUUAGAAAUGAUUGUUUUCAAUUAAAUUGCAAGUAUUUGAACAUGACAUGUUAUUUUAGAUAAGGAAAUCUAAUGGCAAAAACAAUAUAAGCUAAGUGAGUUGUUAGUUGUUAUUAAUAGUCUCCAUUUGAUGCUUAUCAAACAAAAAAAAUUGCAAAGAAUUCACCAUUUCCGCAAGCAUCUCUUGAACAGUUUGGUCGAUUCUUUUGUUCCUGACUUGGAUGCGCCUGUUAUUGUCAUAUGCUAUAAACGACAUAUGUACCUCAAACGGAUGACAUUAAUGGCAGUAGCAAAAUGUCCACGAGCAAAAUUGAUACAGCAAUAUUGGGAACUUGUGAAUUGAUAAAUCGAGUGAAAAAUUCUGCGCAUUUCUCAUUCAUGUAUAAAAGAAAUCAUUUGCAUUUCAUUCAAAUACAAGAAAACACAAGAGAUAAAACAACGAACGCGCGAAAAUCAAAUAAUCCAUAUGUCGGUCAGUUUAAUGAUAAAGCAAACUAUUUAAGUGCUUACCUUUUUCCUGAUUAGAUGAAUUAAUAACUCCUUGUCUUUCAAUCCGCUUCUUUCUAUCCCUCUUGACCUUCUCCAGAAGCUCUUCAUCAUCAUCAGCCUCUAAAAUGGCUGCACUGGCAGUGUGGAAACAUUCUUUGCCAGGAAGGGAGAAGAGAAAAGUGGCAAUGAAGCUGAUUGAUAAGCUUCUUUUGGUACAAAACGGGGAAAGGGGUGGUGAGUCGGUGUAGGGGUAGCAGAUAGAUAAGAGCUUCUUGGGAGUGGGCUUUUGUGGAGAAAGCAAUGUCGGGGAGGAUGAUAAUGAAGUAGGAGAAGAAGAUGGUGAAGAAGAAGAAGAAGAAGAAAGAGUAAAGGAGGAGAGGAAGGAGUUGGCGGUUGAGAGAAAUGUUGUCGCCAUUGUUUUACUGGUAUUUGGUGAUCGGGAAAUUUCAGAAGAUAAGGUUGCCGAUGUUAUCUCAUCCGGUCAUUUUUCAAAUGCUCAGGGGUGUUUAUGUCAUUUAGACUGAUAAUUAAUUAAAAUAAAACAGGACCCGGCCCGAGAUCAUUAAUUAUGUAAUUAUGUUUAUUAUUAUUAUUUACUACUAUAGGUGGGUAUAUCAUCAUAUAUUAAUCCACAAAUUAUUUUAUUUUCAAAAAAAUUAACUUAUUAUAAUUAUUAUAACUAAAAAAUUUAAUUAUUGUUUAAAAAUUAUAAUUGACAUUAAAUUGGUAUAUACAAGAAAAGUGUUAAUUAGUAUAAAUAAAUUAUAGAAAGUAGAUUCCAAUAUUAUUACGUGUCUCUCAUUUGCCAAAUACUAUAUAUUAUAUGUUGUUAUAUAUUAAAAAAUAAUAUUUUUAUUAUACUAAAAUGAUUACAGCUUUAUUUCAAAGGCUAUAUAAUGUAAAACUUUAUCAUAAAGGAACACCCUUUUUCCCUCUCUCUGAAAUUCUUACCUGCUAAGCUUCCGCUGCAUGCAGAAUUCAUAAUUCAUUAGCUUUUAAAAGACGUGACAAUUUAAUUAAGUCGUGAUUAAUAUUGUAAUCACAAUUAAACCCCAAUCGAACUCUUAAUUACCCUUCAAAUUGGUCGUGCAGCUACUUAAUCACACAAAUAGUGCAUGGACUUUAACGUAUAUUGGUCCAUAAACUUUAUCACUUUACUUUUUUUUAUUUGGCAAGACUACCUUUACCACUUUAUUAUUAUUAUUAUUAUUAUUUUAAAGUGACAAUGUAUAUAUAUAUAUAUAUAUACACAUGUCAAAUACCAUGAUGACUACUUAAAAAGUACUUAAUUACUCUUUUUUUUUUAAGUAAGCUUUGUGCAAUAAUUACAAAGAAUAUUCAAUUUCGUUUUGGACAAAAUAAUUUAAUAAUAUUAUGUUUGUAUAAUUAAAAACUCAUGGAAGAUUAAUUCAUAUUUUAAAAAUAAAAAUAUUAUGAUGAAUAUAAGGACAUAAAUAAAAACUUAUUCCAUCGUUCUAUCGGCGGAAAAUGUGGACGAAAAUAAAAGAAAAAAAGUUAAUUAGGGUAUGCUUUUUUUUUUUCCCUCUUUCUUUUAAUUUUCAAAAAAGUUGAAGUCAAAUAUAGAUUGGUCACUUUCAGUUUAUAAUAUAUAUAUAUAUUUUUGUAAUUUUUAAAAAAAUCAAAUUAAAUUUUUAUUAAUAAUUUUAUUAAAUUAAAUAUUAUAAAUCAAUUAUUAUUAAUUUAUAAUAUAUUUUUAUUAAAUAAUAAAUUAUAUAUUCUUAAUAAAAAUUUAAAUUUAUAAUUUUUAAAUAAAAUAUAAUAAUUUUAACUAUUAAAUUACUUAUUAUUAAUGACUAGAAUUUAUUUACAUUAUUACAUAUAGAACUUAAGUAUAGUAUGUACGUAUUAAUUAUAUAUAUAGUAAUAAAUAAUAUUAUAAUGUUGAGCUUCCAUCUUCCUCAAUUUUGUACCUUUUUUUGGUAAAAAUAUACAAAACUUUAUUUUUGAAACUUAAUUUAAAAAAUAAAAUUUUUAAUACCUUUAAAAAUAUAUUAGAUAGUAAUAACUUUAUAUAUAUAUAUAUAUAUAUAUAUAUAUAUAUAGAGCAUGUAAUAAAAUUUACUGAAACUAUAUAGUCGACUUUAUGAAUAAAAAAUUUCAGAAAAUAAUGCGUCUCACACGUUUUGUCAAUUCUAAGACAAGGGUUUCGAAGGCGCAAAUGAUUCUAAGACGUGCUUUAAUAGUAGUAUCAAAACCACAGACACUAAUUAUGAAACUUUUGGUCUUAUACAUUUACUAGAUAUAAUUUAAAAAAACUUGUUUAAAUAAUUAAUUAUUUUUAUUUUAAUGAUAAAAAUAUUUUUAAAUUAAGUUUUGUAGAGUGAGCUUAUUUUUUCAAAAAAAAAAAAAAACUUUAAAAAACUCAAAUUAAUAUGUUAUACUAACACUACGUGGAGGAGUUUCAUUAAAAAAUCACCAAUCAAAAGUUCAGUCCGAUGAAAUAUUAAAAACUGAUAGAAAUAGAAAAAUUCAAAUUCGAUGGGAUAAACAAUGAGAAGAAAUCGAAAACGAUAUUGGAUAUGGAUUCAAAGCCAAUAGAGGGAGAUGUGAGUGAGAAGUCGAUAAAGGUUCUUUUUUCUGCUUCUAUAUUUAUUAUUUUUUACCUUUUUAUCUAUGUAUUCAAAUUAAGUAUUUUUUUUUCUUAAUAUCGAUUACCCUCAUUUUUCCUUCUCUCCAUAACGUUCUCUUGUUGUCUGGUUUUUCACUCUCAACUUUCUCGAAACAAAUCAUAAAAAAAAUAGUAGUCCAUCAAUGCACUUUUCCUUAUAACUCUCAAAUACUCUAUAAUUAUAAUAACCUUUCAAAUAUUCAACCUAAAAAUAACCGCGAACAAAUUAUUCUCUCUUCGAACAACACACUAGGCUAUUGCAACAACAUUCAAAGAUUCCCUCUCAUGCACUAAUCCUCUUAUUUUGCUUCAUCGCACAAUUAAGUGCAUCGUGCCCUAAUCUUCAUCAUCACCAAAUCGAUACAUGUGCAGACAAUUAAUGAACCUUUUCUCUUACUCGAAGCUUAGAAUUUUUCAAACACCAUAGUGCUUGGUUCUUUUCACGGGUUAAAGAGAAUAAGGAGAAUUGAUGCUUUUUUUUCUUAUUUGUAUUGAUCCAAAAUAGUUCAUAUACAUGUAAUAUCAAACGAGAUAUUUGAUUUAUAAUCGAACUAAUAAGAAAAUAUCAUAUAUUAAUAAAUUUAAUGCGUUAAAUGUAUUAAAAAAAUUAAAUUAAAUUUUUUAAAAAUAAUUCAAAUAAAACUAAAUAAUACAAAUACCAAAUUCUUUGAGCAAGAAAGAAAGGUCCAGAGCAGAACCAGACGCGUGACACAGUAAAGUUGGUCGCUCUACGGUCUCCUCCUCCACUCCUCCUCGUCCCCGUGGUUGCAUACUUCAGCGGAGGCCAAGUAGAAGUUUGACUGAUUGAAACAAGAUUACAAACAAAUAAAAAUUAAGAGAAAAUAAAAUAAAGAAGAAAGUUAAAAACAAAAAGCCAAUCAAAUUCCCAAACCCCUCCACCUAAAGUCCCACGGAAAACGACCGCCAAAAAAACACACCCAUUUUUCCUUCCUUAAGACAAUCACUUUGCUUCACAAGCAAAUCCCACGAAUUACACCCAGAUCGUUGCUUUCGUAACUGCAGUAAUUGUAAUUCAAGAGAGAGUGAGUGAAAGGUAAACUUCGUGUUAUGGCAUGGAGGGACAACACUGAUUGCUGUGAAGUUGUGUUUCGGAUUUUCAGUUCUGCCCUUCAUCCACAUCGUUGCCGAAACUUGAGUCGUCACUGGUUCAUUCUUAUGCUCAGACAAUGGCGGAUGAGAAGCUCUCACCUUCAUCUUGUUAUGAUUUUAAUCUUCUUCGCUUCAAUCUCAAUGGGUACUUGCGUAUUAAUAUUCUUUUUCUAUUAGAAUUUUGAUUUUCAGUUGCUUUUCUUUGGGGAGUUUCUGCUUCGACAUAAUGAGGGUUUUUGUUGGAUUCGGUGGUUUUGAUUGGAUCACUUUACAUGACUCAUACUCGUUCGAGUAUGCUUUAUUUUUCCAAUUGAGUUUUUCGUUUUUCCUAACUGUGAUUAUUAUUAUUGGGUUGCCUUUACUUUUGCCUUGAUCUGAAAUUGGAUAGAAUAAUAGUGAGCUGAAACAUGGGUAUCUUAUUCUUUUCAUAAAUUUAUCUUUCUUCUCUAAUGAAGCUUAUUCUCUGCUCUGUAUGUUUUGGGAAUUUAAAUUUGAAUCAGUUCUUCUUUUGCUGGGGAUUGACUCUGCUUGACUCCGAUAAUUUAUGAUGCUGUUGAUUUAAAACUUGCUGGUUGAUAUAGGUUUGUCUCAUUUUAUCCACAAAUAGUAGGAUUAAUGCCUUUAACCUUUGUGAGAUCAUCAAAGAAAAAAUAGAAUCGGUCCUGCUUUUUCUGUGGCUAUUGAGGCUUCAUUAUGCAAUCCAUGAAGAUAUGUGCUACUUCAUCCUCUGAUUGCAACAUUUCAGAUUACCCAAAAAAUUCAAUAGAACAAAACUUCAGUUUUCUCCCACAGAAAAUGUGAAUAUCAAUGUCCAAGCAAGUCAACUUAAUGAAGCACUUCCUAGACAGUGGAUUGUGGUUUUCUUGAUAAAGAAAAGCUGAGAUUGUUAUUAGGCAUUUACUGAAUCUUAUCAGCCGUCCCUCUUUUCAUUUUGUUUUAUUUUUCUUUUCGAUCCUUCUUGCUUCUGAUAUGGUGGCAGAAAUAGAGCUGUGUUGCUUAAAGGUCAUUUGUUUUGUUGCGCAGAACCAACAUCUGUUCGUGCAUUCAUUGGAACCUAUGGAAUAAAUUAUGGAAGAAUUGCAGAUAAUAUCCCAUCACCAGAGGAUGUAGUCACGCUACUCAGGGCGGCGAAGAUAAGGAACAUUCGAAUAUAUGAUGCUGAUCACAGUGUCCUAAAAGCUUUCAGUGGAACUGGGCUGGAAAUUGUGAUUGGACUACCAAAUGAAAAUGUGAGGGACAUGAGUGCCAAUGCUAGUCGUGCUAUGAGCUGGGUUAAAGAAAAUGUGCAAGCAUUCCUACCUAGGACGCGAAUACGUGGGAUUGCUGUUGGAAAUGAGGUUUUAGGAGGGAUGGAUUAUGAACUUUGGGGUGCUCUUCUGGGUGCAGCUAAGAACAUUUACAAUGCUGUAAAUAAGCUUCACUUAGCCAAUGUAGUUCAGAUUACAACAGCUCAUUCACAAGCUGUUUUUGCUAAUUCCUACCCCCCUUCAUCAUGUGUAUUUAAAGAGAAUGUUGUUCAGUACAUGAAGCCACUCUUGGAGUUUUUCUCUCAAAUUGGUUCCCCAUUUUGUUUAAAUGCAUACCCGUUCCUGGCAUAUAUGUAUAACCCAGAGGAUAUUGAUAUCAAUUACGCUCUUUUCCAGCCUAACAAGGGGAUUUAUGAUGAAGAAACAAAUCUCCAUUAUGAUAACUUGCUUGAUGCUCAGAUUGAUGCAGCUUAUGCUGCUUUGGAAGAUGCUGGAUUUAAGAAGAUGGAAGUUAUAGUUACAGAAACAGGAUGGGCAUCACGUGGAGAUUCUAACGAAGCUGCUGCAACUUCAAGUAAUGCAAGAACUUACAAUUAUAACCUGCGUAAAAGAUUAGCAAAGAAGAAAGGAACUCCUCUCAGGCCCAAAAUUGUGGUGAAGGCAUAUAUUUUUGCAAUCUUCAAUGAAGAUCAGAAGCCUGGGCCCACUUCUGAGAGAAAUUAUGGAUUGUUCAAAGCUGACGGGAGCAUUUCAUAUGAUAUUGGGUUUCAUGGUCUUAAAUCUUCAUCUGCAGAUUCCUUGCUUCUGUCAUUGAAGGUAUGAACUGUUUUUCCAUGUAUGGAUAUGUUUUUCUGACUAUGCUAACAUUAAGGAAAUUAGUUUAGUUCUCUGUUAUCUUAUUGGAAAAUUUAAGUUAAAGAGGGAAAUGGAAAACUAAAUGUUUUUGAUGGAUCAGAUCUUCUUUUCUUUUUAUGGUUCCACUUUAGGACAAUCUUUUGGUUUAAAUGAAGGUGGAGGACGUGGGUCUUGUGGUUGGAGAUUUAUUUCUUUUUUAUAUCACAUGUGAUGGACUUAGCCUAAGAAUAAGAUAGUAUUCUUCAUGUCAAAGUUAGGCAUUUUCGAAUAACCUAAGUUUACUUGUGCGAUUUUUAAACUAUUACAUGUACGUUCCUCUUACGCCAACUCUUAAGGACGCAUCUCUUCAUCUGUCUUCUUGCCUGCAGCUAAAUAAGUUAGGGUCUCAAGGGGGAUAGUUAUGAUUCAGAACCCGACAUUCAAAUCUUAUAUCCAACUACCAUACUGCCACAGUUAAUGUUACCAUAAACAGAUAUACAAGGGUUUGCUUGUUCCCUUGUGUGGGUUCUUGAACUUAAGUGCAAAUGUAUUUCCAUAUUAGAAUGGAGCCAAAAGGGUCAAAAGCUGCAAACAAGACUGGAAGAAGAACCUUUUUGUUAAAUUGGUGAUUGUGCCGUGGUUGAUUAAAUGUUUUGAGGAUAACUUUCAAUAGAAGUCCUUUUAAGUCAAUUUGUGGAACAUUUGGUAAAAAAAUUUGUAAACGAUAUUGUUAAUUUGAAUCUUAGUAUGCAUGAAUUGUAUCAUGUUUAAUUAAUCAUGAUAAGGAAUUAGUGUUAGAUGGUGAAACUAAAAAAUAAAUAAAUUAGAUAGCAACAGAUGAUUAUUUGAACAAUUUAUGAUAUUAUAUACUCCCCUCAAAAUUUCUCUCCUUCAAAUACUUUUUACUUUUCAGUUCAUUUAUUUUUCAUUUUUUUUAGUGGAAAUAUAAAUGUUCAUUAUUCAAUUAAUUUGUUUCAAUUCAAGAGUACUUGAAUAGUUCAUGAUAAAUGGUAAUUGCUAUUACACUUUUAUCUGAAAAAUAACUUAUAUAAAUGAAACUUAUGAAUGACAUGAUAUCUUAGAACUAUCAAAUUGCUAGUAAUUUGUGAUGUUGGAUUUUUGAAAAACUAAAUUUAAAUUCUAAUAGCAAUGACAAGCAGUUUCAUCUAGACUUUUGGUUGAAACUGGUGCCUUUUUAUAUCAAAAGCACAAGUCAAAGGCUCGGCCAAACUGGUUCUAGGUAGUCAUUAGGAAAGAUUAAAAUGAAUAUGAUAAGCAUAAUAAAAACGAAUGACAUUUUCGUUGAUUUCGGUCGGCCAUGGUCUUUUUUGAGUUUUAGAUGAUUUAAUAAGGGAACAUCCAGGGCUCAGUCUUGACCUAGACAAUUCUUCUGCGCAAGAAUCAAGUUAGCAUGUUAUCUGUAACUGAUUUUUCUGAGUUCUUACUCCUGUAUUUGUGAAACCGUCACUUGAAAUAAGGUUUAGACUUACAAGUCUAUUAUAACCUCAAUCUACCAACGAACUCGAUUCUAAUCAAGACUGUAGAUAUCUCUCAAAAUGCCUUACUUGUCACAAAAUUUUUUCUUAGCCCAGUUUGCCGCAGCUUUUUAUAGGUUUAAAGUUAAAUGUUACAAUGUUAAUUUUUAAAAAAUAACUUUACCAUUUAUUAAGAAUUUAGACUUUAAACUUUUACUAAUUUAAAGUGAUAGCAUAUUUCGUAGUUAUUUUUACCAAGUACUAAAUAUUUUUAGUUAACAGUUAUUUUAGCAGCAUUUCACAGCAAAAUUUACAGCUCAUCCAAAACGCCUGCUCAAACCUUACAAGGAUUGAAAAAUUGGAAGAAAGUGAACGACAUCCCAAAUGCAUUUUGACAUUUGUGUUUAUGCAUCUUCAUUUUUAUAUCACGUGAAGUGAAACCUCGUCAUAAUGUUUUUGUUCAUCUUUUUACGGAUUGCCUGCAGGAUAUUCGAAAGCAACGUUGGCUUAGGUUGUGUUGGUUUGCACUAGUUGCCCCUGGUGCGGCGGUGCUUCUGUUGUUAAGAUAUUAAGUGAAUGGAGGUGCCGGGCGGAUAUACAAGCAUGUUAGCCAAGGAUCUAGAGUUAUAAUACAUUUACCAUCAAUCAUCUUAUGUGAUACUUUCGGGUAUAAAGAGUUAUAGAAUCAUUCUUGUGUAUGUUAUUGUUUCUCAGAACUCUUGGAUGCUAGAAAUUGCUGAUUUAGUAUUUUUGGUCUCUGGCAAAUGUAUAUAUAUAUAUAUUUUUUAUUUCCUCCCUUGUUAGUAGUACGUAGGUUCCUCCUCUGAUGGCAUAACUUUUGCAUGUGUGGUUUUGAUUUUUAUUAAAAAUUAAUCUUAAAUUUAUGGUGUGAAUGCAAAUGUGAUUGGCUUGUAGGAGGAAAUGAAAUAAAUGAAUUAGGUAAGAUUGUGUUUGAAACAAAUGAAAUUUUAGAAGUUGGAAUAAGAACACUUUCUUUCUGCUGGUAAUAAAUUAUAUAANNNNNNNNNUUCGACUUCUCGCUUCAUAACACUAGGCACUUUCCCAUUAUCUCCCUCUGUCUCUCUCUCUCUCUAUACCUGUACCUAUCUAUAUAUAUAUAUAGACGCAUACGAGUUGAUAGCCAAGCAAUAUCCAGAUCAGUUUUAACUUCAAAAUCAGAACACAAAACACCCAUUGAAAUUUGAAAUGGUUACACCAACCAAAACAGCAGUGUUUUUGAUGGUGCUCUUCUUGGCAGCACCAACUUUUCAGAAAACAAACGCAGAAGAUCACGACGUCGGCGACGAUACCGAUUGGCAAAUCCCUAACGACGUUAAUUUCUACUCCAACUGGGCUGCCCAAGAAACCUUCAGAGUGGGCGACACGCUUGGUAUUUUUUCGUUAAACCCCACACCACCGUACAUUUUUGAACCAUUAAUUACCCAUCUAUCAUUUUCGUUUUCAUUCUUUGCAGAGUUCGAAUUUACAACUGGACAGCAGGAUGUUGCGGAAGUCACCAAGGAAGCUUUUGACACGUGCAACACCUCCAAUCCCAUCUCUCUUAUGAGGACCGGACCAGCCACUUUCAUCCUCAACGCUACCGGUACCCGCUACUUCAUCUGCACACUUCCCAAUCACUGUACCAGAGGUCAGAAAUUAGCCAUUAACGUCCUUGGUGCCAACGCUCCCCCUGCCCACACACUGGAUCCGGAAGAUCAUGAUGUCGGUGACGAUGCCGAUUGGCGAGUCCCUAACGACGUCAAUUUCUACGCUGCCUGGGCUGCGCGACAAAUCUUCAGAGUUGGCGACACACUCGGUAAAUCUGUUUUAACAUAACUAUAGAUCCAAACAAUAGGCCAGAGUUUAAUUAACCCUUUAUCCAUCAAUUCUAUUAUAUAAUAUGCAUAUAUAUUUUCUGCAGAGUUCGAUUUUACCACCGGAGAGCAGGAUGUUGCGGUCGUCACAAAGGCAGCUUUCGACGCUUGCAACCCUUCUAAUCCUAUCUCUCUUUUCAAAACUGGACCUGCAAAGAUUUUCCUCAACACCACCGGUGCCCACUACUACAUCUGCAC